AUUGUAGGGUUAGAAUGAUACUUAGUCCCUUAGGCUUCGUUUGGUUCAGGAAUUAGUAGGAACUAGUUAUACCGGGGAUAGGUACAAGUAUGGGUUUUUGUAAGGCAGAGUUUUUUUUUAUUUGGAUGAAAAUGUGAGUAUAAGCUGGAACUAGAUAAAUUGUGUUUGGAUAGUUAUUGGGAAUAAGAGAAAUUGUUGAUGUUUAUAAAUAGAAAAUAAUGAUAUUACCCCUAUAAUUGAAUUUAAAUUUUUAAAUUUAAACUUAUAAUUUUACAUGAAAAAUUUUAACUUUUAAAUUUUAAAAUUUGAAAUUAAAAUUUGAAAUUUAAAUAUUCAAAUUUAUAAAUUUUAAAUUUUAAAUUUUAAAUUUAAGACCAAAUUUAAAUUUGAAAUAUAUAAAAUAUCAAAUAUAAAAUUUAAAAAUUUAUAAUAACAAAUUAAAAUUUUAAACUUUAAAAUUUAUAAUAACAAUUUUAAAUUUUAAUUUUAAAAUUAUAAAAUUUAAAUUCUAAAUUUUAAAAUAAAACUCUCUCUCUCUCUUUCUGUCUCUCUCUACCUAGUGGGUACCCCUUACCGGAUUAUACCAGGUAUAACCCGGUAGGUAUAACCCGGUAAAGGGUGGAAACACUAGUUCCCACCAUUUAAAUUUCUUGUUUGGGUAUAAAGGGGGGGAUAACCCCCUUAUCCCCCUCUUUAUACCCGAUCCAAAUGGGGUGUUAGGGUUGAGUGGUCCUCGCAGGGUUGAGUGGUCUCCACUGAGUUAUAAUAUUUAAUCCAAUGGCUAGAAAUAAUUAAAGCAAUUGAUCCAAAGGUUAAAAACUUGAUAGGAAAAAAGGCCUUUUGCUAUCAAUAGUAUUCUAGCCCAACUAUAUAUAUAUAGAGAGCUAGGCUGCUAUACUAUCGGUAGCACGGACGCCUCCGUGCUACCAAGUUGUUUUCAAUGAUGCGGCUUCCAAAUCGACGAUCGGCUCCGUUAGACUUGAUCUACACUAUUGAAAGUAUUUGGAAACCAAAUUUCAUAAUUUUUCGAUAUCAUUUACCUAUCAAACAAGUAGUCUAAAAAUGAACGGCUGAAAAUAAAAAUCUCAUAAAAAAUGAUGAUAGAAGACUUGAAUUUAAGAUCAGAGGUGCUGAUCUUACUCUAAAUAGUAAAAAAAAAUUUCUAUAAAACUUUCAUCUGAUUUGGAUUGUUUCACACCGUUAAAUUUACAAAUGCAUCACAUCUACCAUUAAAAUUGUCAAUUUUGAGACCUUUUGAUCACUAGCCAAAUGAUGUCGAAAAAUUAUGAAAUUUAGUUUUCAAAUACUUUCAAUAGUGUAGAUCAAGUCUAACGGAGUCGAUCGUCGAUUUGAAAGCCGCAUCAUCGAAAACAACAUAGUAGCACGGAGGCCUCCGUCCUACCGAUAGUAUAUCAGCCUAGCUCUCUCUCUCUCUCUCUCUCUCUCUCUCUCUCUCUCUCCAUAUAUAUAUAUAUAUAUAUAUAUAUAUAUAUAUAUAUAUAUAUAUAUAGGCUGGGGCUACUAUACUUUUAUGAGUAUAGACACCCUUGCACUCAUAAAUUUUUAAUCAUUGAUUAAUGAGAUGUGUGGUUAGGAUGACUGGUGUCACGCCCCGACAACCCGUCACUUUGGUUGGAUUCUGGCACGCCAACAGACCGCCGAACGGACAGAGUCUCCCCUGUACAAGUGGUUCCAAACAAGAACAGUAUUCAUACAUCGAUUGCAAUAAGGAAGGUAUCAACAACAUAAAAACAACUAUGCUAUUACAAGCAUUCGCCACAAUUUUAGAUUACAUUACAUUUAUAUUUUCGUUGUCUUCCAAAUACAAUCAACUUAUUACAUUUGUUUCAUUCUUUCCUGCACCCUAAGCUAUGCCGACUCAAGGUACUUCUAUCUCUGGUCUCAAGUGGUAGGGCGCUAUCUACUGAGCUACGCCCUUUCCUCGCGCUGUCGCGCCACUCGCGUGUGGACCUAAAAAACGUGGGGUGAGAACUAUAUAAAUAGUUUCCAGUGGGUACGACCACCCAAAGGAAGAGCUCUACCCACCAGGUCCAAAGGAGGCAAAACAACAUGUUAGUCCAACAACUAUACAGAUAUCUUUAUGCAAGAAAUAAAUCAUGCUAUUGCCUCAACAAACGCGAUAAUGAAAUCAUGCAAGUAGAUCUAUUUCUACUUUCUAUCUCACUAUCCAUAGCUCCUCCAACCAGCUCCUAAGGUUUCUCUUACCUUAGCCAAGCUAAACCACCCGACUCGGUCUCGAGUCAAUCACCAGCGGAAUACCGCUCAUAUCCAGGCCUGAGGAGAGGAACCUGCCGUGUACCUCAGCCUUCAAUCCAUAUACCGAGCAGCCCGACGAAAGAGGAACCAUGCCGUGCACCCGUGGUCAGAGAUCCCUCAGUGGGAGAGGAACAUGCCAUGCACCCGCGACCGAGAGCCCCGAUAGGGAGAGGAACAUGCCGUGCACCCUAGCUCUCAUAGCUCGCGGUGGGAGAGGAACAUGCCGUGCACCCACAAUCAAAUACCAUGCAUAAGUCCCGGAAUUCCGGAAUCCACUUUUCAAGCCUCAAGGGUUAGUCACACACCCUAUGCUGUCAACCUUUCUAGGUUCAUAGUCUCAUGUCCAACCUAUGUUCAACGACACUAGAUUCAAUGACGAGAUGUCAAUGGGUAUGGAUACCCGAAAUUUUAUCCGAACUCGAACCUGAAUGAAACGGAUAUAUCCGAUGGAUAUGGAUAUGGAUUCGGAUAUGGAUUUUGAUUGUACCCAACCCGAACCUGAACCCGACCCGAACCCAAAUUUAUUUUGUAUUAUAUAUAAUAUAUAUAUAAAAAUUUGAUGUUAUAUUUGAAUUUGUAUUUUAAAAAUUUAGAUUUAAUAUAAUAUAUUUUGAAAUAUUGAAAAAAGAAAUAAUUAUUUCGGAUUCAAAUUUUCGGGUUCGGGUUCGGGUUUGGGUUUCGGAUUUUUGGUCGGGUUCGGGUUUGGAUAUGGAUUUUUGAAAAUCCGUCGGGUUCAGGUCUCGGGUUUGGAGUCGGGUUCGGGUUCGGGUUUUUAAAAAUCCACCCCGAAUUCGACCCGUUGACAUCUCUAAUUCAAUGUCCAACCUAUGUUUAAUAACACUAGGUUCAAUGCCAGUCAUGCUAUUUGUUAUCCUAGUUGUCCACACAUAUGAUCCAUAGUUUUCAUGCCACACUUGUCGAGUUCUCUACUCUUCCUAAAGUUCAUCGACCUAUGUUUACUAUCCACAUCUAGGUAUUCAUAUAUACAUAUCCUAUAUGUCCACAUACCUAUAUUUUUAUCCAAUGGUAGUCAAUACAUAGCUUAGCAUCUAUCUCAUGCAUUCAUAAUUGCCAUUAAACUAUCAUUACAUGCAUCAAUGAUAAAACCAAACUUCACUUUGACAUGGAAGCGACCUAAUCACUUUGGUGAAGCACAACCCACCUCACAAUACUUUUCGAUUGCUUGUAGACACUUGCAAUCGGGCUCUCGCGGCACAUGUCGCCAGGUUCGGCUCGAACUCACGAUCGACCACCGAACGCUCACCGAAUUCCAACUUAGAGUUGUCUGGGGCUCUUCUCUAACCUUCAAUUAGAGAACCAUAGGGUCAAUUUAGAUCAAAACCCCAAAACCCCCAAUUCUAAGCCCUAGAUUUCUCAUUUCUCCAAGUACCCUAUAAAAUUCAUGGAGCACCAUAUUUAUCUAGCUUAGAAUAGUCUAGGGAUCUAUAGAAUAUCAUUCAUAAAGGAUUUAACACAAAUCCUAAACUUUUAACCAAACGCGAACCUCAAGUCAGAAGCACGCCGCAACACCAAGUGCUCGAGGGCUCGAUCCACCGCUCCCCACGCGUUCCCGAGCUCCUUCUCCACCAAAAUCUCAAGUUUGGGAGAGAGAUCUAGAGAGAGAAAGAGAGAAGACUAAAGAGAGAAAGGAGAGCUUCUCUCUCUCUCUACCAUAUGUGUGUGUAGGUGUAUAAUGGUUAAUACAGGAAGAAUGAGGGUUCCUUUAUAAGCCCCUCCCACUAAAUUACCAAAGUGCCCUCAUUCAGGGCUACCUGCGUGUGCGAGGUCCGGACCUUGGCUCUAGGGUCCGGACCCCGUAGGUCCAAACAGCUCGAAAAUUUCAGCAUUUUUCGAAAAUGCUCAUUUCCACUCCUUGAGCCUCUAAUCCACUUCCAAUCACUCCAAGACCCUCAAAACACAUUUUUGAGCGUGUUUAAACCAUCCUCUCACUUGUACUUUGCCUGAUUUAGUUUCCGUGCCCAACUCGCACCAAAAACACUCAAAUGCUCACCGAACUUCACCGGAACUAUUCUAACCACCUUUCACGCUAGUUCCCACCGAAACUUCGUAAUUAUAGGAGUUCGAUAUACUACAACUGGAUUAUCUUCUGGGGAUUCUGCCUAUUCGCCUCGGUCCCCGCACGCAACCUACCUUCGUCGAGGCCAGUUGUACUCGGUCCUGCUCUCAACCCUGGUGGAUCGGUCUCCCCAGGUAGGUUGACCAUCCUAACCCUAUUUUUAGGUCCGGCUCCCCGGGCCUUGGGCUCGACCUUUCCCUCUUCGGUUUGCCAAGUGGUCCAGGCUAUCCAUGUGGCCUUCGGCAUGGGCCAACUGAAGGUCCGCUCCCGAAAGUUCUUGGCUUAGCCUCGGGUAGCCCACGGCAUAGUGCUGCGUUUUUUCUCACUCAAGUCUCAUGUGUCCCGCCACUAGAUGCCACGAAUCUAUUCGAACAAGACUUGUUCGGAUCGACGCUUGCUCCUACGAAUUUACUUGGGUUCGACCCGUGCAGCCCGCCCCCUACAGAUAGGGUCAAGUCCACCUAUGUUGACGUCUAGUCAGACCCGCCACGGUCCAGUAACAGGCUACACAAGGUGGAGGACUCUGCGCUUUACAGGGCGAUGCGCAGGAAAGCGUGUCUGAUUGAGGGUGAGACAUCCACGACUGGGCCUUCGACACGCAAGUGGACCAGCAAGAAAGUGAAGGCGAAAAGCCGUCUCUGCCGGGUGAAGCUCUCCGACACAGAUGCCAUGGAACUCCAAAAGUUCCUACGCGCAGAAGUCUAGGGACGAAUGUCUUCUUUGUCCGCACAAUUUUUUGGGUUUUUCGUUUCGUUUUCUUAUGUUUAGCAUCUUAAGCUGGAAUGUACGCUGUCUUAAUGACCCAGCCAAGCGUCGUUGUAUCAAGUCUGUAGUGUCUCAUCUUUUUUAUUCGACUGUCUGUUUCCAAGAAACUAAAGUGGAUUCAGUGUCCCGUUCCUUUCUCCGCUCUUGCUACAGAUCUAACUUCGACAGGUGCCACUUUAACCCGGCAGCUGGGGCCUCUGGCUGCCUGAUCAUGUGCCGGAGCUCUAAAUUUUUCUCUUGCAAUGAGGUCAUCAUGCGGGAGCACUCGCUCACCCUUAAUCUGACCUACCUAGCUAGUGGGAAGACUUUUUACCUCUCGAACAUUUUCGAGCCCAACCUGGAGUGGAAAAGAAGAUUUCUGCUCUGAACUUCUCUCUCUCCAAGGAAUCUGCCCUAACAACUGGGUCAUUUGCGAAGACUCCAACUUCACCAAAAACUAGGCUGAAAGAAAAGGAAAUCCUUGGAGCACCAAAGCCAUGGCCAUGUUCUUUGAUCUCAUUAGAAAUCUAGCAGCUAUCGACCUUCCCCUGUCCAACCAAUAUUACACUUGGUCGAAUAUGCAACGCAGACACACCCUAGCCAAACUCGACAGAUUCUCGUUGCAACGGAAUGGGAUCUUUCCUUCCUAUACUAUAAAGUCAAGGCACUCCCUCGAACCACCUCCGACCACACCCCAAUCCUCCUCACAACAGGGUCCCUUCCACGCCGCAAAGGUUUAGAUUUAAGCAGGUCUGGCUAACAAAGAAGGACUUUAUCACAAAAAUACCAAUCUGGUGGAAUGAAGUCGCUCCCAAGAACUCUGCCAUCCUCACCAUAACUGCUAAGCUCAAGCACUGCAGAGCAAGAAUUAAGGAAUAGUGCAAGAUGAAUUUUCACAGUAUUGCAAACUCCAAGAGGCGACUGCAGGAGGAAAUCCAAUCAAUAGAUCAGAUAGAGGAGCAGCUAAAUCUGCCAUAGGAAACUAUAGAUAAACGGGCUAAUCUUGAAUCGCAACUUCAAUCCAUCCUAGAAGAGGAAGAAAUACUUUGAAAAACUAAGGCCAAACAGCAAUGGCUUAAGGAAGGUGACGGCAACACAAUUUUUUCAUGUAGUGGCUGAUGGACGUAAACGCUUUAACUCGAUCAAAGCCAUAGAAGACGACACCGGGCGAGAAAUCACAAAUGAAGAACAAAAGAGAUCCUACUUCUUUCACUCUUUUAAACGCUUGUUUGGUCAGGCGGAGGAGAGACUCCCGUCUUUCGGAGAUUCGAGCGAGCUCUACCAGUCCACCAGACUGUCGAAUCUAGAUACUCUAACGACUGAGUUAACUCUGGAGGAAGUCAAGACAGCAACCUUCCAACCAGACAGCGAUAAGGCCCCCAGAUCGAACGGAUUCCUACCCCUUUUCUUUCAAACCUUCUGGGAGUCCGUCAAGGGUGAUAUCUUUAACAUUUUUGCUGAACUCCAGGAUAACAGACUGUUUACCAGUUCGCUUGAUUACUCUUACGUAUGUCUCAUCCCUAAAAAAGAAGGUGCACGUAAGGCUACCGACUUCCGACCGAUAAGUCUAAUCAAUGGAAUACAAAAGAUUAUCUCCAAAGUUCUCACCAAUAGACUCGCACCCAUUCUGUCAUCUAUUAUUACUCCAUCGCAAUCGGCUUUCCUCAAAGACCGGCUGCUAACAGACUCCUUCGUCAUUGCUUCGGAACUAAUCAAUUGGUGCUCAAAGUCUCGUAAGGAAUGCGUAAGUAUCAAGGUCGACUUCAAAAAAGCCUUCAACAACGUCAGAUGGACUUUCCUACAAAGUAUACUACGGUGGCUUGGAUUUAGUGACAAAUGGUGGUCCUGGAUUGAACAAUGUAUCUGCAAUGCCAAAAUAGCCAUCCUGGUGAAUGACACUACUACAAGGUGGCUAAAAGCUAGAAAGGGUCUUAGACAAGGGGACCCACUUUCCCCCUACUUGUUCAUCUUGGUGGUCGAUUGCUUGGCGAGGAUGACUGAAACAGCUAGGAGUAACAACCUGAUACAUGAAAUCGACCUUUUUGCCGACUGUCAGACGGUGCUAACACAAUACGCGGAUGACACGUUAUUUUUUUGCGAGCCAAGGAAAUUUAUUAUGCGGAACUUGCAGUUUCUCUGGAAAACCUUCGAAUGGACCUCCGGCCUCAGAAUUAAUAAGAAGAAAUCGGAACUAUACUACUUUGGUCCCAAUACUCGUAAAGGAGACAGGCUGGCUAAUAUCAUAGGAUAUAAAGUUGGAAAUCUACCGUUCCGUUAUCUGGGCCUUCUAUUAUACAAUAAGCAUCUUCGCAAGGAAGAUUGAAACUUGCCUAUCAACCACAUUGAAGCGAGAAUUGACGGAUCAAAAGCUAAACUACUCUCCUUUGGGGGGAGACUGACUCUUGUCAACUCAGUUCUCACCAAUGUGCCACUUUUCUACCUUUCUAUAUUUAAAGUGCCACAAUGGGUACUGCAUCGCCUUGAAGCCCUGAGAAGGGCAUUCUUUUGGAAAGGGUGCUCCAAAAUUUUCGGUGGCGCUUGUCUCGUGAGUUGGAAAACUGUUUGCAAAAGCGAGGAAGAAGGUGGGUUGGGGAUCAAAGACUUGGACACCAUGAAUCUAGCUCUCUUAACUAAAUAGUGGUGGCGCUUCGUCCAUGAGCCACACCUGCAUUGGUGCAAACUGAUCAGAACCCUCUAUUACAAAAGACGAAGGUCGCUGCACAAGGGAAGAGAUUUUAUACCUUACUCAUAAUGGUGGAAAUGUGUAAUUCGAUUCCGUGAGGUGUUCAAAUGCGGUGCAUCAUACAAGUUGGGGGACGAUAACAACAUCAGAUUGUGGUAUGACAUCUGGAUUGGCGAAACACCCCUACGCACCUUGUUUCCAGACAUCUUUGACAGUAUUCGGAAUAAGGAGGUCAAAAUAUCACAAUGCUAGAACCCUAACAGAUGGAGAUGGCGAUACAUCUGCAGAGGUUUCGGGCGUCCCAAUCAUCCGAAAACCUUGACAAUUUUCCCUGUUUAAAGAUUUACUCCUUCACUGCAGCCCUACCAACAGUCCGGACUUGCUUAAAUGGCGGUGGACCUCCAACCAUUUGUUUACAGUUAAAUCCCUUUAUAAAUUCAUUGACGACGCGGGAUUAAGAGACCCGACGAACCAUCACAUAUGGAGACUUAAAAUCAAAAUCUUCAUAUGGCUACUACUUUGCAAGAAAUUACUCACAGCUGACAGACUGCUCAAUCGCGAGAUGUACGUAGAUGGACACUGUGUCUUCUGCGCAUUUUCCAUGGAGAAUCGUGAUCACUUAUUUCGUUUUUGUGUGUUCGUCCAAUUCUUGAUUCUUAAGCUGGGAGUAUCUGUUGGGGAUUGGGAUGAUGCUCGAGACCUUUGGAGUAAUGCAUCUUUUAUCUUAGACGCCGCGAAAAGAUCGGAAGCCCUAAUCCUUCUAGCGGCAAUUUGGUGGGUUGUAUGGACGGAAAGAAACAACAUUAUCUUCAGCACGAAACUAAUGCUACCCAAGCUAUUGAGUGCAUCUUACGUCUGACGGAUUCGUGGACACAGCUUGGAUCACUGCCCCAGCUUAUUGUUCUUCCUCUUAAAAUUCUUUUUCCCUCACCUUUCUUUCUCCUCCCCCCUUUUCCUUUAUCUCUGUCUGCCACCACGAAUGACGCACCUCGCACGGGGAAUUUUUAUCUUUUGAUUCUCCCGUGGGGUAGUAUUCAUGAUGUAGAUUAAAGUAUGUGUAUGUAUGGUUAUCAGGUAUUGCGGAUCCAUGGCUUCCAAUAAACGCAAGCGUCUAUUGUUAAUUACCCCUACAAAANGAAUAGACGAAUGUGCUAUUUUAUAUACCCGUACGUAUUAUUUUUUCGCAAUCCGGUGCAUGAGAUAUUUUCAAAAUUUAAAUUUUAUCCAUGCACCUGGUGCAUGGAUGAUCUCAUAAACCAUCUCUAUUCUUAUUUAUUUUUUUCUCUCUUUUCUUCUUCUUUUUUUUUUAUUCUCUUUUUUUUUUUUUAUGCUUCAACAAUCUCUUUUUUGCUUUACUCUUGUUCCUUUUUUGGCACUGCCUCGGAGGCCCUAGCUAUCUGCUUCCACCUUGUAUGCUUAGUUCAUUUUGCUAAAUGAAUAAAGCAGGUAGCUUGCUACUUCUUUCUCAAAAUAAUAAUAAUAAUAAUAAUUUAUUCGAUCUAAACCACGAGUACAAAAUACUUAAGUCAUUUUAUUAUUAUUAGGAUCUCUACUCCUUAUAUACUUAAUUAUAAUUUUUUUUUUCCAUCCGAUGUGGAUUUAUUGGAGCGUUACAGACUCUACACGUUAAGAUCCUAAGAUCCUCGUCAGGCACACACAUAGAACAAAAUUAUUAGGCAGAAUUACUAGGUGAUGGGAGAUCCUAGAAAUAGCCCUUGCGAGUUCAAGAGGUGCCCACCACGAAACUGGUAACGUAGCACUUUAUUCCCCAUAGCAUUUAGCUCUUAUAUUUUCGGCUGAUAUUUCGCUCUAAUACCAAAUGUAACAACCCUAGCUACUAGCACUAUAAUUCAUUAGAUCCAAACCACCUAGACAAAAUGUUUAAGAAUAAUAAUAAUUAUUGUUAUUGGGGCUCCAAUCCUUAUAUACCUUACUAUAAUCUCUUUCCAUUCGAUAUAGGACUAUGGUGGCUUUACAGAGAUACCAACUAUAAUGGCCCACUUCCCACCCAAUCAUAAUCCUUUUCCAUCUGAUGUGCGACUAUUGGGGCAUUACAGAGAUACUAAUGGUAACAGUCUGCUUCCCAGGAAGGUCACCGAUUUUAGAACUAGUCCCGCUUUCUAGGAUGGUCACCUACAUUAGAAUUAUUCUAUCACGAAUAUGCUUAACUCUCUUAAUCUUUAGGCCUAUCCACCAUCCAAAAUAUUAUUAUCGGAUUAAGAGCUUUAGCUGUACUAUAUCUUAUAUAUAGGACUAUUCCAAAUUUUGAGAAUAUCUUUUGGGGGUUUCAUAUUCCUCUCCCCUUUUAGAACUGACACGUACAAGCAGGCGAACUCUAGCCCUAACAUAUUUAACUCUUUUAAUCUUUUGAGCCAACCUAUAGCCCAAAAUAUUAUAAUUGGAUUAAUUAUAUCCUAUAUAUAGGACUAUUCUAAAUUCUAGGGGUAUUUUCUUCAUUUUCAUUAGACUCAAACACACUCACAAGCAAGCGUUGUGUGAUUCAUCUCACUAGCCUUAGCUGAUCUUGUUGGAGCUGCGCUCUACCCACGACAGUUGCCAAUUGGGGAGCUACACUUAAAUCGCUGCAUGACUUUUACUUAGUUGAGAUUCAUCUCAUAUUUCCAGCUAGUAUUUAACUCUGAUACUAAAUGUGACAAUCUAACACACUAACAAUAAUAACUCGUUGGAUCCAAAUCAACGGCCCAAAAAACUUAAGUAUAGUUAUUAUUAGUAGGUUCUUUAAUUCUUAUAUACUCACUAAUGGUCCUUUUUCCAUCUGAUGUGAGAUUAUUGGAGUAUUAUAAACUCUCUCCGCUGAGACACUAACAUCCUCGUCAGGAACUCAUAGACUAGAAUUAUCAGGCAAUGUGAGACUUUAGAGAUGACUCUUUCGGGUUCAAGUGGGGUGACUCCAACCAAAGUCGUGGUAUAAUAAUUCAUCCAGCAUAGCACUUUGCUCUCACAUUUCUUGCUUCUAUUCGGCUUUGAUACCAAAUAUAAUGAUUCGACCCAUCAGGAAUAAUAACUCUUUGGGCUCAAACCACCGACCCAAAAUUCUUAAACUAAGUUAUAACUAUGAGGAUCUCUAAUCCUUCGUACCCAAUUAUACUCUCGUUUUCAUUUGAUGUAGAACUAGUAGGGCAUUACAGAAUAAUACUCAAGGAUUAAAGUGCCCAUCGGCACAGGCCGUAUCUACCAUGCCGUAUCGUGCCAGUAAGAUGUUGGCACGAUACAGCCAUCGUAUCGAUGGCACAACUCAAAACUCUCUAUUCUUGAAAUUAGUAAGUUAUUUUCUCAACAAAGUUCAAAAGAUUUGAUAAAAAUACGUAAUAAAUAAUUAGUAUAUUUUGUUACUAAAGAAAAUAAAUAUUUCAUACCAUUACGUGUCGAUACACAUAUAUUUUUUUGACCUGCAUACAUCGGUACGGCCCGACACGCACUGUAUCGUACCAUGUUGGCAAGUUUCCGGCACCAUCUCGUGCCACGACACUUUAAUCCUUGAAAACACUGUAUUUACAAACAAUUUUAUAAAAUAACAAACUUCUUACAAAUUUGCUUACUAUUUUAUUACUGGGCGGUUGCAAAUCACGAAGGUAAGAAUUAAACCAAAUAUUAAAACUGAUCAUUAGUUAAAAAAAAGGUUGUAAAACAAUUUGUAAGCAUAAAGUUAAUUUUUUUUAAUAGUAUAAUAUUCAAUAAGUAGGAACUAUUAUUGAUUGAUCAAAUGCAUCGGUCUAAUAAAUUUAUCAUAUGAAGAACAUUUGUUUUUCCAAUUUCAUUUUUUUUUUCAUUUNUGCACCUAAUCUAAAUCUAAACAAUUUCUACUCCAACUCAACCAACCAUUAGAUUUAAACUAAGAGGUCCUAUGUAGAUUCUUCACCCAACCAACCAUUUUUAAUUAGCAUUUCAACCUUCUUUUUUUUUUUUUAGAAGUCAUAAUCACUUGUAGAAUUUGAUAUAUGAUCUGAUACCUUGUGCUGUUCAUGAUGAUACCAGUCGUGUAACCUAAAAUUCAAAAUCUCAUAAAUUAAAAAAUAAGAAAAAUGGUUUAGUCAGAGUAAUACAUUCUGUGUACUUGGAUAAUUAAUAUACUUGGAUAAAACUUGAGUAGAGAGCUCCCCACUGACGUCUUGUUGGGGAGCCCCUGAUCCAUAGCCACAUGUUAGUUUUAUCUCUAUUCAAAAAUCCGUCGGGUGUUUUUUAAUACUAAAAAAAAAAACUGUUAAACCCUACAAGAAAGAAAGGAUUAUAACUCUUAAAUAGAGAUAAAACUAAGACAUGACAGUAGAUUGAGACUCUUCAAUAGGCAUUAUUGGGAAGCUCUCCACUGAAGUUUUUUUUUUUUGUACCCUUAUAAUAUAGGUGUAAAUCAGACACCCGAGACUUCAUAUGGCCUAGAGUUACUUAUUUUAGUACUUAUUUUUGGGCUAAAUUAUAAAAUUAAAACCUCAUUGCAUGCACUUUAGUCCCCGUCUUAAUUACCGACUUGACAUUAACAAUUGCCUUAAUUAGCACCCUACACUUUUUUACCAUUAAACUUAUAUUUUAAUUAAAAAAAAAGCUUUGGAUAAUUAAGAAAUUUUCAUUCACCUGAAAAUUAGAAUUUGAAUGAAAAUCUCGCAUAUCAAACACGGACAAAAAAAUACGUUUAUUUCGAUUCCGAUUAAAGAUGAUAAAAGGGCGAACCAAACACACUGUUAGAGUGUUCGGGUAGAAAUAAUAACAAAUUAAUUAGAUAUUUUCCGGAAAAAAGUAUAUAAAAGUAGUAGUGUUUUCCCAAAGAAUUUCAACGGCUUGGAUUCGUUUGGAAGUCUGAUUACUAGUAGGAUGAUGCCACGUGGCAUGGCAUCGAUCUAACAAACGGCCAUUCGCUACGCACCAAGUGGCACGAAUCUCCACGCGGAUAGUUGGAGAGAAUUGGGGAUUACGCCCUCGUGUUCUACAAAAACCGCAUGGAGGCUUUAAAAAAGUAUUUGAUUUAUUAUUUUUUUAAUUAAAUUUUUUUUAUUCUUUUAUUAUUUUUUUUUGGAAAUUGGGAUUGCUAAUGAUACAAUGGUCACCAACUUGUAGGAGGCCAUGUUCUUGUGGCUCUUGAUUUGAUGUUCUUGGCAUUCUUAAAAAAAUUUUGUUUUUUUUUUUUUUUUGGUUUAAUCUUACCACAUUGANUUCUCUCUCUCUCUCUCUCUCUCUCUCUCUCUCUCUCUCUCUCUCUCUCUCUAUAUAUAUAUAUAUAUAUAGUAAAAACAUAUAGAACUUACCACAACUAUAAACUAUUUUAAUUUAAUUAUCUAAUUUUUAAAAAUUUUAAUUUUAUUAUUUAAUUUAUUAAUUUAUUUGAUUUGAGUUCGUCAGCGAUACUUUGAUUUUAAAAUUUAAGUUAAAUAUUUAUUUUAAUCAAUUUAUAGUUGCAAAACUUGCAUGAAAUAUACUAACUAAAUCCGUAAAAAUAAACGACACAAUCAAAAGUUGAAGUCAAAGUGCUGAUUCAAAUCAAAAAAAUAAAAAAAUAAGAUAGUAAAAUUAAAAUUUUGAAUAACCAAAUCCAAAUAGUCAAUAGUUCAGAUAAAUUUAUACGUUUUUAUCUUAAAUUUAAGUGAUAUUAAUUUAGGAGUGAUGAUGUUAACCCAUCCAAAUUUACUAUUUAUCAGAACUUGUCUUAAAAACACGGGUAAUGACGCAAAACAAGGAUAAUGGUAUUUUUUUUUCCUGCUCUUUUCACAGAAAAAUAGAAAUAGAAAAAGAGUGUCCUAUAAAUGAGAAAGGCUUAUCUGUGGCAAGUAUUCUAUAUAAGAUUAAUAACAAGCUAAAAAUAUCAUAUUGAAAGCAUAAUUGUAAUUGCAAGUGUAAAUAGAGCCCAAAAGAAACAAAAUUUGUAUAAUUCUAAGCUCAUUGCAUUAGUUGGUUGGACCCUUACGGCUGUGUUUGGUUGGAGGGAUAUCCCAUAACAAGGCGGGAUAUCCCUCUUUAUCCCCUCAAAUACAAUGCAAAAUAAAACAAGGCCUUUGUUCCGGACUUAACGAGUUGUUUCGGAAACAACUUAUUAAGCUUGUUCUCCCUAAAUGGGACAAUUGGGGCGAACAACUCGGGGGGAUAUAUUUCUUUACCAUUUUGCCCUUUAACCCUUCAUCAGGGUGUAUUUAGAAAUUUUUUUGAUUUUUUUUUAUUUAUAAGAGCCACACUAUUUUGACUUAUUAAUAUUUAAUUUAGUAAAUUAAAAUAAAUCGAUUGAAUAAUUAAUUUAAUUUAAUUUAAUAAGUGUUAUUUCAUUUUAAAUAUUUAUAUUUUAAAUUAGUUUGGAAAAAAAUAAAUAAAUACUUAAAUUGAAUACUACUAAAUUAAUAUUUUGAAAAUAAUAUACAAAUAUACUUAAUUUGUAAAUUAAUUUAUUUUAAUGCUUAAUUUAUUAAAUUAUAUUUGAUUAUUACAUUCAAGGGCAAAUCUGUUAUUUUAUUUAAUUUUUAUCUUUCCAACACCUUAUUCCAAAAUAACCAUCCAAACACUAUCAAGAAUAUUCUCUAGGAACAAACAAAUAACAUCUAAACGUAAUUUACAGUUUGUUCUAGCUUAUACAGGAAUAUUCCCUGUUCUCGGGAACAACAAAAGUUAUUCUCCAAAAUUUAGUUCUCUAGCCAAACGCAGCCGGGACAAGUAGUAUCUAGAUAGUAGUUACACAGGAAACAUUCUUUAGAUAAGCAUAAAUCAAGCCAAAUGUACCCUUUUAAGUUCUGAAAAAGGGGGCUAAAUUAGACUUUUGAUCUUUAACCUAUGAAGAGUAUAACACUUUUGCUUCUCAAACUUCAAUUUAUUAUAAUUUUUAGCGUGAACAUUUGAAAUUUUCGCAAUCAAAUCCCGCAAUCUUAUUUAGUUGACUACAAUUGAUGUGCUGCUGAUGCGGUAGCAAGUAGCUUUUAAAUUAUUGGCAGGCUAUCAAUCAUAACAUUAUCGACGCAUCGUCGGCAUAUUAGUAUUUAGACAACUGAAUAGGCAGUGAGACUUGAUUGCGACGAUCUAAAAAGAUGGAAUCAAAAAUUACAACAAAUUAAAAUUUGAGAACCAAAGCAUCAAACAACCUAUAGUUUGAGGACCAAAAGCAUAAUUUAGCCGAAAGAGAAGGCUUGUCGGUAGACACAAUACACACAUUUAAUUUAAUUAUACAAAAUUUAAGACAAUUAAUGCCAAAAGUGCUCUCAAGUUCCACUAAUAUCUUAGAAGUGAAACUGACUGUCCCUAGUGCAAGUGACAAAGGAUUUGAUGGUUGGUAUCCGAAAUCCCAAGUUUGAAUUCGAGUUGAUUCACGUUUCCAGCUAAGUUUAUUUCUAAAUGAAAUAAACGAAGUGGUUAGCAUGCUAUCUAUCUCUCUCUCAAGAAAAAAAAAAAAAAAAAAAAAAAAUCUUGAAGGGAAAAGGUUCCCUCAGCACCUUUGAACGAAAGCAAAAAGAAUUUACAAAAACCAUCUUAACUUAGAUGCCUAUAAAAUUUGAGAGAGAUAAAUUUAGAAAUAUGAAUAAUAUCAAAAGUACCCUUAAAUUCUCAGAAAGCCAAAAAGUUUACCCAGCAUCUUUAAAGAAAAGCAAAAAAUUUUACCCAAACUAUCUUAACUUAGGUAGUAAGAUAUCUGAGUGUGAAACUACGAGCUGUGAGUUCAAUUUCAUUCUUUCAGAAACUAUUCAAAGUCUCACAAUAGGAUUUGAACUUAACACAUAUAGCUUCACACCUAAAUACCUUACCACCUAAGCUAAGGUGGUUUGGCAAAAUUUUUUUAUCUUUGAAUUAGAAAUUUUUAAGAAUUUUAUGUAAUUAAAAGUCAGAAAGUCAUCUCUAUAAUAAAUAUUUCAUAUAAAAUCUAAUAUUGCCUUUAGGCCCAAAAGUUAUAAACAAAUACAUCUUUUAAACAAAUAUAUCCUUGGCAUUAUAUCUGCCUAAAAUUACCAUACUUUUUAUGAUUUGACAUUCACAAUUAUACCUGUUAUGAUGAGAUUAACCAAUUACGAAUCCUUUAUUUAUAGAAUUACUAAUGCCAAAUUUCCCAUCUAGAAUCUUCUACAUUUUUGUUAUUAUUGGUUAGGUUGUAAAUUCAUAUUUUCUUUUAAGAAAGAGGAAAGUAAAAAAAAAAAUUACCAUUUUCCUCAUUUGGUAAUGGUUGACCUUUUCUUUUCACGUACAAGCUCUAAAUGAUGGGGUGUGCCCAUGGAUGAUGAAUUGCCUUCACACUAGCAUCUAUGAAUUUUUGCAGCAACAGAGAGCGGAAAUUUGAUAGUAAUAUUUUUCACUUCUUUUUCUGAAAAAAGAAAUAAAAAAAAAUAUCAUUCCGCAUUCAACAACGAUGCAUUGUAAACUAACCAAUAAUGACAAUAUAGAGAAUCCUCUACUUGUUCAAUCAACGUAGAUUUGUGAUUACAUGUCGGGUCUAAAACAAAAUCAUGAAGUAGACAUCGAUCGAUCGCCAAAUGCACACCAAGUAUUCAAGUCAACGUCUUGGUUCUGUGAAGAUUCUCGAGCUAAGAUGCGGGAGGAGCUGUUGGAUAUAUAAAUUAUUAGAACAUUGUGCUACAGAAAAUGAAACUUCUCGAGUAAUUUCACCUGAUAUAUUAUCAAAAACCUUCGGUCUAUAGUGCAUAUUUAUUGUUUUUCACUGCAGAGCGCGAAGCAAUUCCAAAAUUAAGUUGAUAGCUGAAGAAGCCCUUAAACAUUAUAUAUAGAUCCGAAUUUUUUGCUUCUAUCAUGAGAAUAACAUUCUUACUCUUAAUAUAUAUAUAUAUAUAUAUAUAUAUAUAUAUAUAUAUNAUAUAUAUAUAUAUCUAAAGGAUGCCAGGCAGAAAAACAAUAAAGCCAUCACAUUUCAUUUUCCCCUCAAAAUCUUCAAAGUUUAGCUAUUAAAUAAACUCUUUCAUACACUUAAUUAUUAAUGAAGAAAAGUUAUAUAUAAUAGUACUUUAAUUAGUUCUUCUUACUGAUCGUUCUUCUUACUGAUCAAAGAAAAAGAUUACAGUGAAAAAAUAGUGCAAAAAACCAAAUAGUAGGUUUUUGGUAUCAGCAAUACUACAACAAUAUUGUACAAUUAGUCAAUUGAAGCCAAUUGGAAUACUAUGAACCAAGUCAAGAAAACCAACAUUUAGGUGGUCAAAUGUGAGUACAUAUUCUGUGUACCAUACCAUGAAAUUCUAGGAACAAGAGCUAUAUAAGCUGCCCCCCACUACCAUAAGAGAAUGUGUCACACUCCAACUUGGCUCUCUCAUGCAUCUUUUAGAAGUGUAGCACUCAUCUCAUAACCAUUAGCAUAUAAAAAUGAAAAAUAGUGUGCAUUCAUUUAGGGAAUGUGACCAUAUAUACUAAAAGAUUAGCGAAAACUCACAAGAUUUGAAUACCCUUUUCCUCGUUGCAUGCAUGGCGGUCGACAGGCACAAACACUUAGAUCUUCUUCCUCACGCAACCCGCAACGCUUUUGAGUUCUUCGUAGAUCACAAGGACAAGUUUCGCGCCCUCCUAAGAUCAUGAAUCUAACCAAGACAAUAAGAAAAUGUUAAGAAUUAAAUAUCGAUUAAUAGUACCAGUAUCGGUAGGGAGGAGAUAUGUUGGAACCCUGGGUUUUGACCUAUCAACUAGGGUUAGCUAGCUUAUAAAAACCCACCCUUCCUUUUACUACCUCUUCCCCUUUUUGUUGUCCUAGUGUGAAAAACACACAUACCCUAAUUACAGUUCAGCAAGGUAGUUAUGCAGCAGUUAAGCUUAACCACCACCACCUUAGUAGGGCUAUUGUUCUUUUCAGUUGCCCUAGGGCACUCCCUCGCACUUGCUCGUCGAGGUAACUAGCCAUUAAUUUCACUCUCUUCUUUAUGUUCUUCAUCAAGUGUCCAUAGUCCUUUUAUGUAAUGUUUUACUCAAUGAUUCGCAUAUAUAACACGUAGAUUGCUUACUUAUUUUAGGUGUUUUUAUGUUUGCUGAUAGUGAGAAGGUCCAUCAGAAUAAUCAGGUACAAGUUUUAGAUGUGCGCAAUCUACAUUGUUCUUUAUGUUAAAUGAAUAUUCUUUUUUAGUAGAUGUAGUUUUACGAACAAGACUUUGUUAUAGGAAAUUCAUGAUAAGACGAGCAUGAUCGAGGAUAGUAGAAGCAAACAGAUGAACGAGAGAAUUGGCAUCGGUAAUAUCAUCGUGGAAGCGAAGAAAACAUUAAAGGAGGUGGAAACUGAAGCAAACUCAGGUGCAAAUAAUGUUGUUGUUGGAAUAAAUGGCCAAGGAGGAGAGAAGGCAAUGAGUUUAAAUCAUGAGUUAAACAUUACCAGAGGAGUUUCCCCAAAGGUCCAUUUUGGUGGAGUCGUACCCUUCUCUUCGGACUACCAUUUGCCCAAAAACCACCCUCCAAAGAACAAUUAAGCAUUACUUUAGAACUAAAGUGAUUCAAAUUAUGUUUUUCUAUCUUCACAUAUUUGUUGAGGUUUAUAAUACGGUUUGAUGUUUCACUCACAAUAUAUAGUAUCUUCAAGUGAUAACACUAGAGAAAACCCUAGCUUCUUUUUAUCCUGAUAUCACAAAACUGCAUUAAAUAUGAUUUAAAAUGUGACAAUGUCAUGGCCAAAUACUUAUUGUAAGAGUAAAUAAUAAUGUACUAAUGUUAGAAUGAAAGAAGCUACUGUGUCUCAUGCUUAUUGUAAAGUGUGAGAAAAAUGACAUGUCGGAUGAAUUAAUCUCUGUUCAGUUUGAAUACUUUCUAUUCUCAAUGCAGGAAAGAGCAAGAGCUACCCAAGUGAUUCAAAUGGGUCACCUAAUUUAAAGGUAAAAAAUAACGGCACUUUCCAUUCUUUUACUACUUACUGUAGAUUGCAAGCAAUAUUUUCUUUCAUUUUUUUGAUUUCUAGUAUAAAGAAAAAGAUGACAACUACGAGUUGUUUAAGCUUUUCCUCCUGAUCAUUCCUGUACAUUAUUAAAAAAAAAAUCAUACCCAUUUUGUAUAAUUAAUGCGGUGACUAGACUGUAUCACGGAGUUUAAUUGAUUGUGAUCUAACGGUCAUAUUUUGUGGCAAACAUAGAAACAAUUGUAUUAUUCUUUUAAUCCUAUUAUUCUACAAGGAAUGUCAAGGAAUGUUUUUUCCUUCUCUUUUUUGGGGUUUUUGAGGGGAAUAUAUUAGAUUUCCAAUGAUGUAAAUAUUGCAAUGUAAGUAUAUAACAAAGUUAUUUGGUUCUUUUAGGAUGAGAACCUAAUGAAACUCAAUACUCUAGUGCACCCUCAAUAUAGAGAGAGGAUGUGCAUUUAAUUAAUAGUCUACACUAAAAUAAUGUCACAAGUGAUGCCUACAAUUGAGUUACUCUACUGAUUAAGUUAGAUAUUUUCUAUUAAAACAUGUUAUUGUUUAUUUAAAAAGAUCACUAGCAACUAACAAAUGAAACUAAUGUUUAAUUCCUCAGGAUUCUAGUAGCACAACAGUGAAGUCAAGGCCAUUAUCCAAUUUCAGAACAAAAAUUAAAGGGAUUGAUCUUGAAACAGUAGAUGCUUCAGACACUCCACAAAAGGGGUUCCGAUUAUCCGCGGCCUCAACAAGAUCACAAAAAUCGACACUGUCGAAUUCCCACAAAUUUCAUGAUCAGACCAACAGAAAUAUUCGAAAGCAAAAGCUUAUAGAGGCGUCGGACGAAAUUUUCAGAUUGCUCAACAAGGACUACCACGACAAGCCCCGCCGCCGUCCUCCCGUCAACAACUAAUGAGCCUUAGAGGAAAUAAUUAGUACCAUCAAACCCUAGUUUAUGUCCCAAACAAAUUUUGCCCACAUAUUAUGCCUCUCUCUCUCUAUAUAUAUAACAUAACUUAGUGAUGUACUAUAAUAGUAACUAAAUAGCUAGGGUGUAGUUUGAAUGGUAUUUACCUAUUAACCUUAUAUAGUUUGGAAGCAUAAAUCUAUAAUGCGAGAAAUUUAGUACUAUUUGAUCAUUUCCAGUAGUUGCAAACUCAUUAUUCUUGGAUCCUUUGCAAUCCUAUCCUUGGGUUUUAGAUAUCCCUCUAAAAUGAUUGCAAUCCCUAGCUAGACAUUCAAAUCCUUCUCAAGUUUGCUUAACUGAUCACAAUGCAGCAACUGGCAUCAGUAGUUGCAAACUCAUCCUUAGGCUGAAGCAGAUAACUAAUUCAAAUAGUAACUAAUAUUUCUUAUCUCCACUAUAAACCCAAAUAAAUUUAUUUUAGUUAAAAAGAAGCUUCGACAUUAUAUGGAUCAACAAGGUAUUGGGCCAAAGCAGGGAUUGUAACAGCGAGAGAAGAUCAAAGCUAGACCACAAAGAAUUAGUUCUUGGUAAGCACAUUCCAUCUCAAACCUUUUAUAGUAGCAAAAACAAAACAAGCUACUUAGUAUAAAUGCUAAUUCCUUUUGAUCUUCAUAUCAAUACUCUCUAACAACUUUUGGGGCAGAAACCUACAGAGCUGAACCCAAAUGUAACUAAAAGAUCAGAUAAUUUUGGGAAAGAGUUGUCCAAAACUAGGUUGAGCAUAAACUAAUGAUCCAUCACCCAACACAAAAGCUUGAUUCUACUUGAGGUGCUUAGCUCACCACCCCAACAGAUCUUGUUCUUCUCUUUUCAACUACUCUUCUCACUAGGCUCAUUCACCUUACACCCCAACUUCUCUGUCACACUCCAUUGAGUCCAUUCCCUUCCACCCACUGACCCACUCCUAACCCCACUAAUACAUAUGCCCAACCAGCUUACCAUAUAAGCAACUUGUAACCUCCUUUGUUCUCAACGCCCUUCAAUUGAUGUCUCCUAACUCAAUCUGUCAGUUCUACCAAGAUCAUCAUUGGUCGUUUUGUUUUGAACGAGCGUGUCAUUUGCCAUCCUUCAUCUCACCCUCUCUCUUGUUCCGGUCACCCUAUGGAUAUGGAAGCAGUCAUCAACUAUCGUAACUAAGAUUCCAAUUUCCAAAUUUAGCUACUCAAAAAUCUAAUCAACAGUCAAAACAAUUAUCCUUUAGCAGUAACUGCUAAGUCAGAAUCCACAAAGUCUUUCAGUAUGGUUCUAAUGGUAAGCCUUAACUCGUCAUGGUUAACAAUGUAACUCCUUCCUGUGACAUACCAUCAAGUUUUCAUCUGCGCUACUUUAAGUGCAUUGUCUUGAGACAUAGCCGUGUCUACUAAGUUUAAGACAUAUUAGAAUUAGGGAUUCUUUUCAGCUACUCUUCAUACCCCAGUCGUUUCAUAAGUCUAUUUACUCUUAUAUAAUUUGAAACAUGCGACGAUAUCUUUCCUAGCCCUUUAAAUUCUUUCACUAUGAAUACUGUUUGUCUACGAUUAGUCCUAAACUUCUUAUCAAUCAACUCUACCACAUGAUAGUUGCUCCUUUCUCCUUUUCACUGGCAAAUUGCAUAGCUACCUACAACAACCAAUACAUGCUGAGUCAAGUAGGUCAAGCUGAGUCAAGUCAGAAAAUAAAAUCAAUUUUCCAGUUACUAUUAGUUACAUCAUCAUUUAGAACUCCGGAAAUCCAAUUUAACAUGUUGCUUUCAAUAAACAGAAAGAACUGAAGGAUGAUACCUAACAUAGUUAUUUACUCUUUGAUUGCAUGAUAUCUGAACCAGCAUCUUUUUUUCACCACAUUCUCAAAAAUUCCGGUUCUAAUCAGAACUCAGGUUUAGCAUGAAUAUGAUAUCUAAGUGUAAUCAAAUGAUUCAGUCACACUAUCCACAUUCUCAAAACUAACAAACUGUCACCAGGAUUCACUCGCCAAACUGGCAUAACUAAAGUUUAUACACAGUAACAGCUAAUGAUUUAAAUCCCAAUUCCACCAAUUAUGGAACUAAAAUCAUUGCAGGUUGAAAAAGAAUGACAACUUGAAUAUUCCGACUAUCCAAAAAUAAGAAAGGUGACGCGCAGUAGAUUGAAUAAUUUGCACGAGAGGAAAAAGUGGGAAUAGCAAAAGGAAGAAAGAAAGAAAGAGUUCAUAGAUAAAAUUCUCCACUAAAACUUCACCAAAAUGUGAAUCAACAUCUUGAAAUAAAUAAAUAAAGCCGAAAACCCUAGAACUGCUUUCUUAAAACCGCCAUAAGCAUCAGACUAACAAAUGAAGAGAAAAAAAAGGGAUUGGCAAAACAGGGAAUUGUCUAGUAUCAGAUCAAAAGGAUUCACGAACAUACUUCUUAGUCUGACACUUUGACAUCACAUAACACAAAAGCAAAGUGAAAAUUGCAGCAAAAAUUAUAUUGUCACUAAAACAACAAAAUAAAGCAUUGUGGUUAGAUUAAUUUAACAUCAAAUAGAUUUUCGCUUACAACAAGAAUAGAUAGGCCAUUGGGUACUCCGAAACAUCCUUGCAACACUCAACCAACUGCCUACAGCCUAAUCGCAUCCCUCCAGAAACCAGUAUAUAUCACAACUUCUAUCUAGUUAUUUUCUUGGUUGUGAGUUUUUCUUUUCAUAUAGAAUCCCCUGAUGACUCAACAAAACAAAUGAUUAGUCAAUGAAAUUUCUGUGGCUUGUCAUUUCUGAUUCUUUUUUCUUUCUUUCUUUUUCAUAUUGAAUUUCAAGUUUGCACUUUCACUUAGAAUCUGUUAAUAUUUACCCCACAGGAGUAUACUAUAUAGUUAUUUGAGAGUAUUAAACAUGAUCAAACAUGCCCAAGUAGCUGCAGCUGUAUUUUGUACGAAAGCAUAUUUUCCAUACGUAUUGUAACAAAAGCAAAUUUCAGCACAGAAUGCUUGUUUAUUUGCUCUUCUAGAAAUCUUCUCAUUUUUUUCUUUUUUUUUUAUUUUGUAUGAAGUUAAGAAGAAUUUCUAUGUUAAAAUGGAAAUACAACUUUAAAAAAUCUUUUUGGGAUGAGAAAGUAGAUAACCAUUAUUAGAGGAAAUUUCUGUACAUUAACCCACUAAAGCAUGAUAUGAUUUCAAAGUUGUUCAAACGUAUAAAUGGAUAAGAUUUGGAACAAGAAAAAGUGAACACUCAAAUAUAGGAAAAAAAACACGAUAUGGCUUUCAUUUCACUCAUUUACAAUAUCCACGGGAUUCAGGUAAAUCCUUGUUCAUGUGCAAGAAUAGUAGCAGCAUGAAACAAAAACUAUUCAAUUUUGUAAGUAUUUGGCUACUGUCUGCAAAUUUUCUACAACUUGACAUGAAAUUGUUCAUACUUGUCAAGUUCCUAAUGUCUCUUCAUGCAUUUACUUUACCUGGAUAUAGAAUUUAAUUAAAAACAAAACUACUUUUCCAGAUUAUGGUAAACUAGGGAAGAAAAGCCAGCUCUAUUACAUAGAAUCUGUUCAAUCUAACAUAUUCACAUUCCAAUAUAACUGACAAAUGUACUAUGGUUUGAAAGAAGUUUCAUUAAGGUUCCACAAUCAUAUAAAUACCACAUAUUAGCAAAGCAUACAAAAAGAAAGCUAAUCAAAUACAUACAACUAUAAGGAUCUAAAAGAGUAAUUCCUUCUCAAGUAGCUCUACAACUUAUGAAACUCAGAAUAUGCAUGAUCACAAAAGGAAAUAAGAAACUAUGGUAUUAGUGACAGCCGUAAGUACAGAACAGCAACAAAAAUAUGUGCUGCAGUACAGGCUAGCAAUUAAAAAUGCAGGUACAUCUAAUACAUAAUAAAAAUUAGCGGAUGUAACAGACUAAUUCACGCAAUUUGCGGGAGAAAAAAGAAAUGAUUGACAUUGAGCUUACACAAAAAAUCAUCUUGUCCACAGUCUACAAUCAGAGACUAACCGACAACUUAGUCAAUAUUACAUACAAAGCUACAAAAUAAGGAGAUGAGAACAGCUAAGGACGAAGGGCCAGGAUAAGGUCAUCCGCUAACGUUGUACCUAUAGUUACAACCUAACCUCAUUCUAUAUAUUUUGGUACUCCAAUAGAUACGUAGAGUUCAUCAUUAAAAGCAUAAAAAAAAUGUGUUACAAAAAAAAAAGUACCAACAAACUUCAUUUUUGAGAACAGAAUUUCUCUGACAAGAAAAGGAAAAUCAUUAAAGAGAUUAAAGGAAAUUUUUUGAAUUAUGAUACAGUACUCUUCAAAUGGCAACUCACAGAUGUCAGAUAAAGUCACUUCAUUUUGUUAGGGCAGUUGAUUGAGUCCACCAUCAUUGAUCAAACAGAUCUUCAGGAAGCACCAAUUGAUACACCCAUUUUGCAACAAUAAGCGUGCGCAAAAAUUAAAUCAGUUAAAAAAUUGCUUCAUCACAAAGCCACACUGAUGCAGAAAAGGAUUGAGGCAUUCCUUUUCUGUAAUUCCGAUGACUUCACAUGCCGAAAUGCAGCUGAUUUUGCUUCCUGUUAGAGACGAGCCUGCCUUACUGGACAUUGUCAGAGUAUUAAGAAGAAAUGUAAGUGAAGUUCCUCAGAUUCACCAUACAACUGCCAUCUUGAUGAGGAUAAUAUAUUAGGAUAGUAUCUUGCUGCUCAUCUUUUUGCGUCUCCCAUACUGCAUCCUCACAAAGAAUCUCGCAAUAUGACUUUUUCCUCACUAGAAAGAAAAUACUGUUAUCUCUGAAGGUGUGGCACCCUUUUUGUCAAUGAAAACACAAGUCGCAUUAUCAAUAGAUUGAAGUAUCAAAUCUUGGCUCAUAAAAGCAGAUUUGGCUAUUGCACAGUUGGAUAGCGCACCCAGUAAUCCACGACCACAAUUUCUUAUCCACGUCAUAAAGAAGCCCUCUCCCUUGGUUCCAAGAAGUAAAGCAAAUUAAAUUAUCCUGCCCAAAGCACUCGAAUCGUUCUGCAGAUAAUCUCAACAGUGCCCUAAAAUACUUUGGCGGCAUCCUGCAGAUCUCCACCCACACUGUCUUAGCAUGAUCCAACUCCCAAAUCCGCAUGCUCUGAAGAGUGCUGUAAAGCCCAAUCCGCCCCACCAGAAAUAACCGUCUCUGUGCACCUGCCACUAAAUAACCGUCCAAUAAAGAACGCGGGAAUUUCGCAGGUAUGUGCUCCCACUGCGCGAUAUCGACCCGGUACAUCAUUAAGCCAAGUGGCGAAAGAGUUUCUAAAUAUAGCCUAGAGUCGCAAAACGCCAUCUUUGAUGAACAAAGGUUAACUGCCGGCAUGACCUGAUGAAGAGACCACUUAUUAAGUUUUGAAUCAUAAACUUCUGUCGGUAGUGUUUUAUCUCCAUAUAUAUCGCUCGCUGCAAUAACCUUAAAUGAAUGGUCCGUUCGAUCGGUGACCAAUAUCAGCUGCCUUUGUUGAUUAUAAUGCAUUUUUGGCAAAGUCCUCCAACUUUGAGUUAGUGGAUUACAUACAAGAGUUUUAAAGCUAAACCCAUCGAACCCAGAAAAGCAAACAAGCCCGCGAGAAGAGCCGACCAACCAGAAUGCCCACUCGGGCAAAAAACCAAAUGGGAUUUUAUACCAGGUCUUCAGCGGCAAGCUGAGUACCGAACAUUGAUGGGUUAAUGAGUUCAGUACCGAACAUUGAUGGGUUAAUGAGUUCUUCCAAAACGUAAGAAGACAAGGCCCAUGAGAAGGGACUUUAGAAUGUGCAGCGAGGAAGCUACUAUCGUUAAGGAUCGAAUUCCAUCUCCUACAAACCGAUCUCAACCUAAAGAUGAAGAAUGGAGGCACGCGGGCGAGAACCUCGACCAACAAAUCCUCGGGCAGUAGAGCCCAAAUGUUGUCUUCCAUUUGGACAUCGGCAUGAAUAGCUUUCGCGAAUGUGGUGACCGUUUCUUCGUCGAAUCCGCGCGGCUUGGUCUUAACCACUUUUUGCCGAGAGGGACUAGUCGUCCGGCUCGCCGUUCUUGUAGGCGGGACAACAUGCUUCGGAGAGUAAUCUUCUACUAAUACACCGUUUUCCGCCGAUUGAACAGAAAUUUCAGCUUCUGUUUCCAUGGUUUUAGAAGAUUACACAGUAUCUGAAACCCUAGAACAGCAAAUUACAUCACUAAAAUGGGAAUUUAAAGCAGCAGUAGGAUCCUAAAACUAAAAACAAUAUAAUGUCCAAAUAUUCAGAUUGUAAUAUGAAAUUUUAACUAAAUAAAACUCUUUUUACCUCUGUACAUUGCCAUUUGCAAAACUUGCCCAAAAAAUUACAAUUUUGAUCAAACCUCUCCACUAAAGAUCUACACUAGGCUACAAAUCAAAGCCCAAAGCAGAUAAAAUUAGGACAAAAAGAUCCCCAACCCAAACCCUAGAGUACUCCAUAUCCAAACCCACCUGCGAAUUCAAAUCAAAAUUGGGGCUUCACCGAACCACCGACGGCGAAUUCGAGCUCAAAUUUGACUCCUCAAAUCGGAAAUUCGGGCCAUUUUGGAUCGAUUGAGCGGGAGAUCUCAUCGAAAGGGUGAAAAAGAUCGAAACUUUAGGGUUUUGGAGGGGGAAAAAGAGUGGGAGAAAUGAGGGGGGAGGGGAAUAAUAAUACCUUUUUCGCGGAGGCUCGUGAAGAUGCUCUGCUCCGUUGUAAUGUACGAAAAUGAAACCCUGGUCUCAAUAUAACGCCGUUUAUCCGAAACGCCGUUAAUUGGGACGGCGGAGUGUGCUAUGACCGUUACGGACCCGUUUUGAUAAGGACAAUCAGGAAGGGUUAUUAUUUAUUUCUGCUUGGACCUGGUGCACCACGUCACCCGUAGACCAGUAAACAAUUUUUUUUUGUUUAAAAGGACAAUAUCUAGUAUGUCCUUUAAAAUUGCAAGAAAAUCUUAUUUAUCUUUAAAGGACUAAAAUAUUUCUGUAGAUUUAAAAUUUUUUUAAAAUAUCUGUAUUUUUUAUAAGAUUUAUUUGUAUGAUUGGAUUGUAGAAGGAUAUUUGACAAUCUCAAGAUAAAUUUGAAAAUUUUAAAAAGUAGUAAGGGGUAAAUAAGGGAAAACUACUUUCUUUUAAUAACUUGCAAAUCCUAACCAUCUAAAUACUUUUUUUGGGGGGGUAUGUAAACUUACAGGAACUAUAGACUAUUUUGAUUUGAAUACUGAAUCUUUCAAAAUUUUGAUUUUUUUCUCAAUCUUUUUAAUUUGUUUGAUUUAAGUAAUAUGAUGGCUUUUUGGAUAUAAAAUUUAGACUAAUUGCUUAUUUUAAUAAAUUUAUUGUUACGUAAAUUAUAUAAAAUAUACUAAUAAAAUUCAUAAAAAUAAACAACGCAUUCAAAAUUUGAAGUUAAAAUUUUAAAAAUUUGGGUGAAAAUUAUAAAAUUUUAAAGUUUCGACGAGUAUUUGGAAAUGCAAAAGUUCAUACGAUUUUGGUGCGAUUUAUCAUUAUAAAUAUAGUUUUCAAUUUAUGAAAAAGAUAGAAAAUUAAAAUCGGAUAGACGAAGAUGCAUUGAUUAUUUUUACUUGUAAUAGGGAGAGAUUUGGAAUUCGAAUAAUAGUUUGUCUUUUCUAUAGAAGAUUUUAGUGUGACAUAUACUUCUAUGAACACACGACUAAAAAAUGUAGGCAAGGUUUUGCCAAUUAUAAUCUACAAACAUAAGAGGAAGAAGAUCAAAAAGGACCACAACAACCUUCGUGGACAAAUCCCCUCCAUUGGACCUUGAGUUCGUAAAACGAGGAUUGCUAUUGUUGAUAAGCUUUAAUUCUUUCACUCGAUCAACCAGAAUUCUAGAUAAAGUAUCACCUGUUGAUCCAAUAUGCGUAUGUGAAAUUAAUUCUUCUAGGUGACCUGUAUACAUUGAAUGAAGCUCUCUGAGAGAAUCUCUCCGUGUCAGAAGUCAAAAGUCAGCGCCAUAUCUUCUCAUCAUCAGAAAUGGAGAUGAAGUAUGUAUUAGAAAAUAUAUCCAUAUAUCUGCUAUGAUUUUUGCGUGCAACAUUAUCAACCGAAGAUCGUCUAUCUGGUAGGUUCAUGAAGAGCUUCUUGACAUUUUGACUAGUAGAAUUUGACAGGCAAAGAGCGACAGCAAGAACAGCUGGAGAUGGAACAGCAGUACCAAUUGAGGGCAUCAGCUCUUCAAUUGUGCACAGCACGUGCACCUGUUCUUCUCUAUAACCACAAGUAGACUUAAGUAACCGAUACAUUAGAAAAAGCAAAAUUACUAGUUUUAGAUCAUGUUUUGAAUAAUUAUAGCAUCACUUCAAUACGUAACAAGUGAAAAGAAAGUACACGAAGUGUAUACAAAGUAUAAACCUGAAGCAUAACGGAGCAACAGUAGGAGUAAUAUACAUACGUGGAAAGAGAAAUGUUUCUGUUUUUCGUUAGUUGUGUUCCUUUUCCACCUGGGACAAAUGACGUCCAUUAUGUCUAGGAAAACUUUGAAUUUUGCCUUCAGAUACUACAAGAAUAAAGUAACUCAGUGAAGCAGAAAUUAAGGAAAAUUUUGUUCGGUAAUUUGGUGGCUAAAAAUACCAUUUGUAUAUAUAAACAAGUCAAAGAAGUUCAAAACACAUAAUCUCUCUUUUUCCAAUGCUUUAAAAUGGCAACUGCAACCUCCACUAAAGAAACAUGUGAUUAUAUGCUUCCAAGGUGGUAGCAACUGUAAUUUUACUACUUGUCAUGGGAGUAUAAUGUGCAUAAACAAAAAUGCCAAUGUCCCUUCACCUAUGGGUCUCUUCCAUCAGAAUGAGGAAAAAAAUAAAUGCAAAUUAUGUCAUUUUGUACUCAUUCUGUGAUGCAAAAUAUCUUAUACAGAAAUCAGAAACAACUUCUGAAUCACAAAGGAAUUUUGUUACAAGUAUGUGCAACAAUAAUCUCCCCACUAUAACAUGCAAAAUUCAAUAAUAGUAAAUUUGUUGGUUUAUAUCCUGAAUGGUUUAUCUCAAACAUAAUAUACCCACUAUAACAUGAAAAACUCUAAAAAAUAAUAUUUGUCGCGUUGUAUCCAGAAUGGUUUGUCUCAUCACCAAACUCCCUGGAGGUACCCAAAAAAAAAAAAAAGAUAAAAGAUAAAAGAUAAAAGAACAAAAAACGAAAAAACACCGUUAGAUCUUUGUAGUUCUGUAGAAUAGCACCAGAGUUGGUUGUGCGAUCCCUCCUCUGCCCAACGGCUUGAAUCACCCAGGAUGCCACCACGACUUAUGCCCUCUAGCCUGUUUUAUGGGAGUAAUAUUUAUGAAAAACUAGCACAAAUGCUGAGAGCAGAAUUGUCUGUCGAACAUCUUAGUCAAUAUGUAAGAGGCUGCAGCUCACAAAUAAAUCAGAUCCGGCUGCUGAAUAUAGAAUUUGCUGAACUGCACAUUCGGAAUGGCAGUGUGGAUUGUUACUUCGGUUUGCUAUUCAAUCGAUAAGUGGUAAAAUAUCCAUACAGAGAUGAACCAGUUUCUGCUGGUACUGCCCAUAAUACUCGUCGACAGCAUUCAGGUCCUCAUCAUCCAGAUUAUUCCUGCCUGGUAACUGAAUCUUUUGCCCAUGGAUCAAAGAUCCUAAACCUUCAUCUGCUGGUUGAGGUGGCAGUGCAAUCUGUGAAUUUAUCUCGUGGCAGGCAAGCAAGAACAUGGCUGCUGUAUCCGGCUGCUGAGCAUUGCGAAGUGCUGCUAAUGCCUCAGGCAGUGCUCCCGCAGCAGCAUAAAGUAUCAGAGCUCUGUUAAGGUACAAAAGUAGAAUUUAACAAGAACCUAAAAUUAUAUGAAUGCCUCAGGAAUUACUAAUGCAUAUAAAAAUACAUGUUACCUCCAAAUAUUGUGUUCGUUCCGUAGAACAUAAUCAGCCCAUCUUUGCAAUACCCUGGAGGAGUAGAGCAAUUAAAUCAGAACAAAAUUUAGUACUACCUUAUGUUGGAGAAAAAGCAGCUCACAACAAAUGAAAUUAAAUUUUCUUCGACGAGAAAUUCCAGCUAUGUUGGAGCAUUUUUGCCUGUGAAGCGCGAGAUGACAAUUCAAUAAAGCAGAAUUUCCAGUUGCAACAGGCUUUAAUAUUUCAACUACAAGGGAAAGACUGAACUGGGAAGAAACCAUAUGAACUCUCAGAAAGUGUCUUUUGCAAACCUCAUUUCCAAAUCGGCCAGCAGUUUUAGCAAUAUAUUACAGCCAAUUUAUAGCGAUGUUGUCUAAUUUUUCUUGCAGCUCAACGGCUAUAAAACUUGAACAAUUUUCUCAAUUGCCACUUCUUAAUUAACAGAAGUUCAAGGUAAAGUACUCCUUCCAAUAUUCAUUGUCUAUCAUCAACAGACCUCUUCAUCUUAAUGCUUUCAUUUACUUUAAGUCACAUCGUACAUCCUCGCUCUUAGACAAUUUAUUUUGAAACCUUAGAAGUUAGAACUGAGGGGGGUUUUUUUUUCGUCUUCAACAGAUUUUUUUUUUUUCGUCUUCAACAAAAUGGAAUAUACAGUAGGACCUCAACCGAAUAUCUUUCAUCAAAACAAGGGAUUCUCAUGCUUCACCCAUCAUUACCCUUAAAAUACUCGUGGUUCUAUUGUUCACAUCCCUGAUCACAGAAUGUAACACAUUCCAGAUAUUGAACAGGUGAAUUUUAAGUGGGUGUGUAUUGUUUCUACGAGGUAGUAAACCAUUCCAUAAUGCAACGAAAAUGUUUGGCAGGGUUAGUUUUAGGUAACUUAUAAAUUUAUGUCUUACAAGUCAUAACUAACAAAAGAAUAGAAGAAUCAACAUCAGGUAAGUUAAACCAAUUUAUGUAUCUUGUGUUGUGCUUACAUGAAUUAAUACACAAAUGAACCUAGUUCUGUCUAUGACAUUGCCUACUAAUAUCGCCAUAUCGAUUAGUGAUUUAAGCACAGAACUCAUGAAAGCAUACUAGGUUCCACUUACAGCUAGCAAAUAGGUUGGCAAUAAACUUUUAAGCGCCAUGUAAUAUAUAUAAAUCGUACUCACAGAAAGCUCUAUACAGAAUAUUCAAGUUAAAGCAACAUCAAUCCAUGAAAACUACAUAAAAUUACAGCAAAUGAAUUAGAUUUGUUCUCCACAAAGAUUAUAUGAGCUUGAUGCACCUGGCAUAGUCAGAUCCAUGUAAAUGAGUUGCAGCCAACGUUACAGCAUCUGUCCAGUACCCAGCAUCUUGUAGCUGAACAAAAAACCAAUUAUUUAUGAUCUUCAUGUAAUAACAUACUCUAUAAUAAGUGACAUUGCAUGUAUAAUAGUACCUAUUGAUUGUUAAGUACAUUUUAAGCAGCAACCAUUAGCAAUUAGUAACUACCAACUACAUUAAAAAUCAAAUAUGACCAAAACAAAUCAUCUCGAUAUGAUGACAGUCAUUUGGAUGGAACAAGAAUUAAUAUCGGAAAGAAUAAAAAUUUAUAUCAAAUAUGGGAUGUUUGGCUGCCUGUAAUUUGAUCUAUAUUUUAUCAAAUUUUGGAAUUUUUCUUUCUUUUUUUAUGGUUGACUUUGGAGGUCAAAAUAUACAAAGUGCAAGUUUUCUUAAUGCGUCGUACAUUUAAUUAUCCAGAAUGGGCCUCACUGCAGAGUAUAAGAAAUUUAAGCCUUUCUAAUUGGUGUUUAUACGCUCAAAAAAUCCCAAGCGAAACAACAAGAAUCAAGUUUUCCUAAAGCAUCAAAGAUUCACCAUACCUAAGAAACUGAAUCUGACUUUCAAUGGAAUGAUUCGUGAUUUAUAUUAAGCAAAGUGAACAACUUGUUAUUUUUUAAUAUAGAAAUUAUGAAAUAAAAUACUGCCCGUGGAACUAAAUUGCUGGAAGUCAUGAAGGCAAAUUUUAAUAUCUCAGACAUCUAACUAGCUAUCCAGUCAUGAUGAUAAUUGCAUAGCUGUAUCUACUGUUAUGAAAUCUAACCUGAGAACAUGCUUCUUGAUACCUUCCCACAGCACAAAGCAGAUGCGUCCCCGAGAGACUCUUAUCCGUUCUGACCAUAUUGGCAGCAACAACCUAGACGAUAUUGCAAUUAAACAAGCUAAUUUAUUUCUAUUAUGAAAAGGCUUAUUUUCACUACGAACAUUGCCUAAGAAGAUAAAAUUUCUUGCAAAAUUUGUAAUGACCUGUGGAGCAGCUAUCAAGUUAGCAUGGCAGAAAUUAUUGUCCCUCGAUAAUUUCAAUUAAGAGAACUAAAAAAAUAGAAAUAACAUCACACCGCCACUAACCUUCACUGCAAGUUCAUGUAAAGAUUGUGACACGGCAGAGGACAGUACUACCGCUCGUAAAGCAUUGGGAUAAAAAUGAGAUCCUUCUGGAGGCGUCGAGAGCAGCAAGGACACUGCAGCCUCUAAGUCUCCUACAGAGACCAGCCUAAAAUAAGCAGAUUGUGGAAAUUAGAAACCACAUAUAGUGAAAUCUAAAACAUAGUUCUAUAAGCGUUGGAGUCACAGGCUUUUCCACAGACAUGAUAACUGAGGUAAGACAGAAGAAAAAAGAAGCAGCACAAAGUAGAUGCACGUAUCUGUUGGCAUUAUCUCCGGACCAAUCAACUAUAGAUAUCAAAGAGGCCUACCAUGAUGAACAACAUCAUCCAAGCUGAAGAAAUUGACCACUUUAGGACUCGAUAAUGCCAAGACAUUUUUAUCAUGUAUUUCUCAUCUUAUGGGCUCUGAUAGUUAGGUAUAGAUAAUGUCUUGGACUCCUAGUUCUCCAUCCAUCCAAUAAAAGAAAAGAAGUUAAUAACAGAAUUUCAUUCCAUCUCUCCCUUAGUGUCCUGGGAUGUUAUGGUCAUUGGGUUUAUACUAUCUGUUAUCCUGAUUUAAGAAAGAAAUUAGGCAAGCAGUACUAAACUAUACUAAAAAGUUUCUUUAGGCAUUAUUUGUUUGUGUUUGUUUUGUUUCGUUUUUUUUGAAAGGUAGCAAGCUACCUACUUCAUUUUUUUUUUUUUAUUAAAUGAACUUUGCUAGAAAUGUGAAGCAAUUAGGCUUUGAACUUGGGACCCUGGGUAACAACUAUCAAGUCCUUUGCCACUUGCGCUAGGGAUGGCUGGUAGCAUUAUUUGGUAUCGUUGCCCUUUUUUUGUUUUCAUAAAAAAUAAUUCUAUGUGAUUGGAUGCUGGUGGAGUUCCUAACUCUUCUCAUUGUAGGUAGAUUGCAAUACAACCCAGCGUGAUAUUAAAACACAUCCUCUUAAGAAAUCCUAAGGAGAAACUUCGCUAGGCUGCUUUGCUUUCGGAAGUACGGAGGCCACCGUGCUUGUAAGUUGUUUUCGAUUAUGAAACAUCCUAUUCGUCGAUCAGUUCCGUUAGACAUGAUCUACAAUAUUAAAACUAUUUAAAAACUAAAUUUCAUAAUUUUUGGACUUCGUUUGCCUAGUGAACUAGUAGUUUCAAAAUGAAUGGCUGAAAAUAAAAAUCCCAUAAAAACAAUGAUUAAAGACUUAAAUUUCAAAUCGGAAGUAUUAAUCUUACUCUUGAAGGUAAGUAGAAUUUUCUAUUAAAAUCCCUUCUCGUUUUGAUUGUUCUAUACCAUUGAACCUACAAACAUGCCACAUCGGCUAUUAAAAUAGUCAUUUUUGAGUCACUUUGAUCACUUGAUAAAUAAUGUCGAAAAAUUAUGAAAUUUGAUUUCUAGAUAGUUCUAAUACCGUAGGUCAUGCCUAACAAAGCCGAUCAUCGAAUCAAAUGUCCCAUCAUCAAAAAUAACUUACAAGUACAGAGGCCUUAUUGCUUCUGAAAGUACAGGAGACGUACUCUAUAGCUCUAUAGUAUGUAUAUAUAUAAAAAGCUAGGCUGGUAUACUAUCGGUAGCACAGAGGCCUCCGUGCUACCAAGUUGUUUUCAAUGAUGCGGCUUCCAAAUCGACGAUCGGCUCCGUUAGACUUGAUCUACACUAUUACAAAUAUUUGGAAACUAAAUUUCAUAAUUUUUCGGCGUCAUUUACCUAUCAAACAAGUAGUCUAAAAAUGAACGGCUGAAAAUAAAAAUGUCAUAAAAAAUAAUGAUAAAAGACUUAAUUUAAGAUCAAAGGUACUGAUCUUACUUUAAAUACUGAAAAGAAUUUUUUAUAAAAAUUUCAUAAGAUUUGGAUUGUUUUAUACCGUUAAAUUCACAAACACACCACAUCUACUAUUAAAAUUGUCAAUGUUGAGACCUUUUGAUCACUAGCCAAAUGAUGUCGAAAAAUUAUGAAAUUUAGUUUCCAAAUACUUUCAAUAGUGUAGAUCAAGUCGAACAGAGCCGAUCGUCGAUUUGGAAGCCGCAUCAUUGAAAACAACUUGGUAGCACGGAAGCCUCCGUGCUACCGAUAGUGUACCAGCCUAGCUCUACAUAUAUAUACAUACUAUCAUGUUUUUUAUUUUUUGUUGCCAAACAAAUCUGUUAGAUAUAUAGACAACAAGCACUACGCCAUACAAUUCCACACUCCAUUGUAUAGAAUUUGUGUUUAAAAAAAUUUAAAAAAAGGGAAACAAGACCCGAAAAAGCCUUAAGACUUAAUCCUUUUUCCUUCUAAACACACUAACGCUGAUAGAAAGCACAUAAAAAAGAAAUGGCAUUACAUAUAAGAUAAGUUUGUUGUAUUUUCUAAAUGAUUCAGGACAUGGAAGAUUAAAAAGGAAAUAAUAUGCCAUAAUUAUUAGUAAAUACCUAGUGAAACAUAUCCUUUUCACGUAAAUCCAAUUACACAUUCAUCAGAUAAGGUUAUUCAUGUACAAUGGAGAACUGGUUUAGCCAACCAUGCACAUAGUAAUACAAGCAUGCCUUGUUUAACUAUAUGCUGAAUUCAGUGACUAGUUAUACAACUCCAACAAAUGGCAGAUAAGUUUCUUAUUGACAGCACAUGCAAACUUAUUAAUUGAGUAAGCAGCAUCAAAAAGAGCGCAUAGGGGCGUUUCUUUUGCCAUAAGCGCAAUUUAGCAAUUAGUCAAGUUUACUGACAGUAGAAACAUCAGCCAUUCAGCAUGAUUACCUUGCCAUAGAGGAAAGGAAUUUGUUUGUUGCCUUGAGGCGACUGGCAGAUGAGUACAGGUCUCCAGAAAGAGGAUUUCAGACCUUUUCAAGGGGCAAUUGUUCAAGGAAUUAAGCAAUGGCUGGGAAGAGGGUUCCCAUUGUGUUCCACAUUUAACAGCAAUAAGUAAAGUUUCUACUCUCACUAAACUUGACUUAUGGCUAGAUUGAACUUAAGUCAACUCAAAUGCCCCCUUAGUGUCCUAUCUCACAACUUUGUUAAUUCAGUUUGAUGCUUCAUGGUCUGCAUACAUGGCCAAUACUUUUGUUCUGCUCCCAUGAAUCAAUAUUAUGAAUUCAUCAGUAUUGUACUACACAAGAUUUAUAAAGAAAUUUAUAUUUUUCUACUGGCUGGAUAGAGUGAUAUACCACUUCUGUUCCAUAUUUUGUUAGCAGGUUCGUAAACUUUUAGUAAGAAAUGAUGCCUGAGGACAAUGUUAACAGGUAGUAGGAUAUACUGUUCUCGCAUUUCAAGAUAUGCAUUGACAGAAUACAAAAAUACCAUUUAUGUAAUUAAAACAUCAGUCUUCGACUCUUUUACUGUAAAAAUAUUCAGCAUCUCCUGAUUGUGAAUGUUUGAUAGGAAUGUAUUUAUGUGCAGGUGCAAGCUGCUUCCUAUAUCAUCAAGAGUUGAGAAUUACUAUACAGCUCAGCCACCUGAUAAACAUCAUUUACCAAGCAAGAUAUGACUAAUUUGUGAAUCACUUACUCAUGGACACGUUUCUGAAUUGCUUCUUCUCCAUCCAGCUUUUCAUGCCAUGGGAUUCUCUCAUUUGCAUUUUCCCAUAAUUCUUCUUGCUUAAAGGCCAUCAGAUUAAGUUGCCCAUAAUUCUGCAAACAGAUAAUCUAUAUCCAAGUCAACUAUUCACAAAAACGAAACUAUAACAAAACUGCAACUAGGAAGGUAUGUAAUCUCGCACUUUCAGAGGAAAUAAUUAAUCAGCCUACUCCUCUCCAUCUUCAGGAGGACUUGUUUAGGAACGAACAAGUCAAGUUUGGCAGGAUAGACAAGUCCAAAUAAGAAUUUAAAUACAAUAUGCCAGAGUACAUCUUAUGCAAUUGAUAUUACCACUGUAUCUUUUGUUGUCUUGCCUGCAACAGAUCUUUCCCGUGAUGCUAUCCUAUUAAGUAUAGAGACGCUUUCAGCUUCAGACACUGAAAUUGAUUGUGAGGCCUCCUUCGGAUAUUUGUUUGAUGAUUUAUCCAGCGAGUGGUGAAGGGCUUGAGGCAGCUGUAACCAGAAGAGUGCUUCUGAAAUGUCACCAAAGAUAGCAGCAGCAAAGGCAAACCUCACAGCAGAACCUUUGUUCACUAUAGAAGCAUAUAGCUUAACCCUUUCAUCGUCAAGAAUACAACCUUCUCAAAGAACAGAUGAAAGUAUAUAUCAGUUCAGGUUGCAUUAGCAAACUGAUAGAAGCAUGCCCACGAACAAAAAAAAACAGUUAACAUACCCUCCUUCCGGUAUGGUUCUAAAACCUUCAGAAGUAAUUCAGGCACCACAGGAUCACCAACAGCAGGGAGUGCUGUCUCGACCAUGUAGCUGCGCAGGUCUCCAACAGAUGUUGCAUCUUCCUCAAGAUUGUGACCAUCCAACAUACCUGUACUGCAAAUAUUGAACCACGAAGGCUUUACGCCCAGUUGCAAAAUCAUCCUCAAAGCCUACAGGGAACAGCCAAGUAAAAUGAGAUGUCGCUUACCAUCAACAAAUCAACUGAAAAGGCUGAAAGAUCAGAAGGUUAGUGAAACUGUGUACUGAAAUAUGAAAGUAAAAUUCCAGGAAGCUGAUAAUUUCCGGGAAGUUGACCAAUCAUAUAGGCAGUUAGGCACCCACUAACGGAAUUUACUGAAGAUAGUCUUUUUCUAAGGGAUGAAUAUGCAGGAUAAAAGAAUUUCAGCUAAACGAUGCAAAGUAAAUAGAAGAAAACAUUCCUACAAUCUACUAAAGAAAAUCUUUUUCUAAGGGAUGAAUAUGCAGGCUAAAACAGUUUCAGCCAAACGAAGAGAAGAAAACAUUCAUGAAAAGGUCUAACAGUAAUAGUGUAAUAUGAGAAAAAGUUUUAUCUAGAACGUGAAGAUAUAUGAAAGUGGAUCACAUGUACAAUAUUUACGCAGCUUAUAAACAAUGUUCUAAAAGGCAGGAUGCGGUAUCCAUGCAGUUUGUAGGAAUAUGCGGUAUGCAAGUGUAUAUGCGAACGCAUGUGGUCCAUCUAUUAAAGUAUUAAUAAAAUAUUUAUAGGUAUUAGAAACGAUAUAAAUUUCCUAACAAAACUAAAUAACUAAACUGACAAUUCAGAAUUCACAAGUUAUAAUUAAUUUCAAGUAAAAGACCUCAUUACUAAAAUAACAACUAGUAAUUUACUCUUAAUUAUUAAAUAGAGGAAUAAAUAGAAUUUUGAUGCAAAAUCAUCAAAAUGCCAAACAAAAGUGAAUGUUCUAAAAAGCGGUAUGCUAAAUUUUUAUGAAGAAUAAAAAAAUUUUAAAUAAAUUAUCAUUCACAUUAUUUGAGCGGCCAAUACUUUCAAAGAAUCUAGUAUAAUAAGAUCUAACAACUAAAAUAUUAUCUACCCAUAUUUAUAAACAUAUUAUUAGAUAGAUUAAGAAUAAUACCUACUAAAUUAAGAAGAAAGAUACUUAGGUUAUAUUUAUAUAAAGAUAAUUGCAUUUAUAUGAUUAUUACUAAUUAAACUUGUAUGAAAGUAGUAUGCAUAUAUAUAAUUAGGGGCAAUUGCUUAUAUACCCUGAAAUGUUCCCGACUUUCUAAUUUACCCCUCUUAGAAAGCUAAUAUUGAAAAUAACUUUUUUACGUUCCAACCUAUUUCAAAUAUACCCCUAGAGUUAAAAUCUGUUAAGGAACUCUGUUAUCUGUAUAAAAUUACUAUUUUGCCCUUUCAAGUAUAGUAAGGUUUUAAGUGUCCGUCGGCACGGGCCGUAUCCACCGUGCCGUACCGUGCCAACAAGAUACCGGCACGAUACAAACCCCGUGCCGAUGACACGGCUCAAAACCCUCUAUUCUUUAAAUUAGUAAAUAAUUUUCUCAAUAAAGUUCAAAAGAUAUGAUAAAAAGAUAUAAUAAAUAGUUAGAAUAUUUUGUUGCUAAAGAAAAUAAAUAUUUCAUACUAUUAUGUGUUGGCACACAAAAAUUUGUUUGACCAGCAUGCAUCAGCACAGCUCGGCACGCACCGUGCCGACAAGUUUCCGGCACGACCCCGUGCCACAGCACUUAAAUCCUUAAAGUAUACCCUUCCACCAUCACCAACUUUUCUUAUUUGCCCUUAAGUCAGAGGCACAAAAAGUAUUUUGACUUUUGGUCUUUUCAAAUAUACCCCUCUACCGUCACCAACAUUUCUUAUUUGCACUUAAGUUAAGAGCAAAAUUGGCAUUUUAAUUUUUUUUAACUGUCGUAGUUAUUUAACUCACGUUUAACCAAAGUUAACCUAACGGGUGGUAACUGUAGGGGUAUUUUAGAAUAACAGAGGAACAUAUGAGGGGUAUAUUAGAAAGAAAAAAAAAGUAGGGGUAAAUGAGAUAUUUCCGAAGUUUUGGGGCGUAUAUAGGCAAUUAUCCCAUAUAAUUAUUAAUCAAACAAUCCCACUCAGCAUUGUAUUUCAAUACCACCUUAUAUAUAUAAGAGUUGAGCUGGAAUGCUAUCAGUAACAAAUGGGUUCCUUUACAACCCAUUUGUUUUCAAUGACGGAGCCUCCAAAUCAACGAUCGACACUAUUGAAUAUGAUCUAUACCACUGGAAAUAUCUAGAAACCAUAUUUCAAAUCUUUUCGACAUCACUAACCUAAUAAUCAAAGGGUUUCAAAAAUUGUGAUUUUCACGGUCAAGCUGAGAUGUUUUCUCGUUUACAGCAUAAAGAUAUCCAAAUCAAUUGAAUUUUAGUUAGAAAAUUCUUUAAACUAUUUAAAACAAUGUCUAUACUCUUGGUCUUGAUUACAAGAUUCCUAUCAGCACUUUCUAAAGGAUAUUCAUUUUCAGCCAUUCAUUUUUGUGUCCACUUGAUGGACAAGAGAAUAAUAUCGGAAAAAUAUAAAAUUUGGUUUCUACAUGCUUCAAGUGGUAUAAAUCAUGUUCAACUGUGCUGAUCAUCGAUUUGAAGGUUCCAUCAUCAAAAACAAAUGGAUGGCAACAGAGCCCGUUUGCUACUGAUAGCAUUCCAGGGCCGAAAUGCUUCUAGUAGCACCAAGUUAUUGGUGCUAUUAGGUUUUUGGCCCUUGGACGAAGGGAUGUGGGGUUGAGUGGGUGGUUUGUCGAAUAGUAUGAUCCGACGGAUGAAAAUAGUCAAAUGGGUAAAUCAAACGAUGAAAAACUUGCUAGCAUCAAAUUUUUGGUACUAUUAGAAGCACCCCAGCCAGAGUACAUAUGAAGCCGCAUAUGGGCUGCUUAUUCAGCCCAACCGCAUAGUGCACCGCAUAUUAUAUAUGCGGUGCAGUUAUGGUCCGAACCGCAUAUGCGGCCACAUGGCCUGCUUUUUAAUACAUUCUUAUAAUGAUAGUGUGAAAGUUCUCCUGAAGCUAACUUAUCUCCCAAGGACAAUGCAAUAAAUUAAUGAAAAAAUGUGUUGUUUGAUUGCAGAACCUUACCAAAGCAUGUGCUGUUGGCAAUAAUAUUGGUAAGCAUAGUGGCAUUGGCCGGAACCUCUCUUUUGAAAUCCUCGCCUUAUAACCAGAACUUGCUUUGAGGUCACUAACAGAAUGAGAAAAAGCACAAGUAAAUAAAGAUUAAGGAAGAAAGAAAGAGCACCACUUGGAAAAGAAUUUAAAGAUUAGGAAGUAGAAAAAAACAAGCGGAGAAAUAUGUAAAAUCAUCCAGUAGGCAAAAAUAGUGAAGUCAAAUGAAUAUUGAAUAGAAAGAAAAUUUUUCAGCACAUACGACACCUUUGCCGCAUCAAUUUUACCAAUGUGAGAAUUAGAUCCGGAGUUUCUAUUUUAACAAUGUUGCAGGUAGAGCACAACAACUGCAUCUUUUUAUCAGUUUAUCAAUUGAAAUGAGAAAGUGUCAGUACUCAGUAACAUCGUUAACGUUGGCUAACAUAUCAGGCUUGGGCAGACAUUUUGGUGCCCCUUUUGUAUGUAAUGAAACCUGGGUUUGAAGUUCAAACUUCCAUGACUAAAUUUGCAAUCAACCUAACUUAAGAUUUAGCUUCUAUGUCUCCACUUUCUCUCUCCUCAUUUACACCCAUAUUUAUGCUUUGGAAGUGCGCAACAACAACCUUUACCCAAUACUCGUCCCCACCUUCUUCUUUUUUGUCUUAGCAAAACUCCCUUCCAUCUCGUCCAUUUCCUACACACCACCAUCACCACCACCUUUUCCUUCAUCGUCGCCAGUCUCUCAACCACUAUCUAUCCCGUGAUCUUGAGCCUGGAAGAACCAUCACUGACUUGUUCUUGCAUUCGCUAGGUGGGCAAAUGUUCUGUGAAUCACUAUACCAACAGCAUCAUCGAAAAACCCUCUCUCUCUACUUAGCUGUCAGGAAACAAUUUUAAUGGGUAUUUUAACCCAUUACUAAUCCCAAAAGAAAACAGAAAUAAAUACAAGGAAAUGCUAGAAAUAAACUCAAAAAUUUUGACAAAUUCAGCGGCAAAUGUAGACAAAUUCAGCGGCAAGAAAAGAUGGGAAUUUCUCUGCUCCUUUUGCUCUAACUUUGAGCAUAUGAGGCAACUCCAUGUACAUACUUAAUAUACUAAACAGUAGACCAAGGUUUGGUGCGACUGUUAUGUUAUAUAAAGAUUCUGACAUACUACAACUAAAUCAUUGAGGACAAGUGGAUAUCAGCAUCAAACUUCAAGGGCUAAGUUUGUAGAUCACCUAAAUGGAAGUAGAUAAUAUAAAAAUUGAGCUGAUGGUCAAUAUAAACAGUACGACCGGGAAAAACGUACAUGUUAACCUCUAUAAGUCGAAAGCUGCUAUCAGCUCCUGCAAUGCAUAGCACCAGUGGUUCAUUUUUGUUUGUUUGCAUCGGCAACCAAUCAAGUUCUAGAACAAGGGUUCCAGGGGAUUGAGGCUGCAGAAGUGCAUUUGCCAACGGAUCUGAUGUAUCCUGAAAAUUAUCGUACUCUUGGACUCAGUACAAAAUAUAAUAGCUCCAUUAUGUGAUAGUGGAAAUUUUUAAAUACCAAGCUCACUUAAAUCUUGAAUCCGGUACCAUAAAUUAUAUUGAUAAGUUCUAGAAAAUUGCUUUGAAUUACAUCCAUCUAGAAUUUUGGAGCUUAGUUACUUCAUGGUUUCAGCACUUGCAAGUUUCAGCAUUUCAAUAAUCAAGAGAAAUCAAGAGGCCAAAAGACAUGGAAUAAUGACAACUUCACACAGCAAAUGGUCGGUAUUUUUGUUCUGAUAGAGUAAAUCACAUCAUCCUCAAUCACAAAUCCUAAAAUCAAGUAAAAAAUAUGGUAUAUUCUCGCUACCAAGAAGGAAUUAAUUAUUUUUUUUUUCUGAAGCGCUUCUUUUCUACUUACAAGAUCAAAUAUUGAGAACGUGUUGUCAUAAAAGAGUACAGCAAUGCGCCCUCUGGUUCUAUCUCUGGAUACAACGGGAGAGAACUUUAUCCUCCUGAUUCCCUCCCUGUGUGUAUUAAAUGAUGAAGAAAGACCUGUUGUUACAUCCCACCAGCGUAUGUUACCUAAUCUGUCCCCCAUUACCUGAAAAAAAAAAAAAAAAAAAAAAAAAAAAAAAAAAAAAAAAAAAUUCAGGAGCAUGUCAUCCAUCUUUCCAACUCUGAUGAAGAUAUUUGUGAAAAACACUGUACAUACUACAUGAGGCAGGCGAUAUGCCAUAGCUGUAAUCAAUCCAUCGGAAGAAGCAAAUGAAGAGGAAGGCCACUUUGGUCUGAAAGAUAAUAAUGAGUCGUCAAAGCUUCACUAUAGAGAAAAAUAUGUCGAAUUACAAGUAUAAUCUAAGAUAUGAAGACUUAAAAGGGGAAAAAAAAAAUAGUAGCCCAGUAGAGCAUUAGCAAGCCAGCUUUUACUGUUAGUAUAAGAAGGAAGAGAUGGUUCUUUAUUCAAAAUUUUGGAAAAGGAUAUAGCCAGAGACGGACAGGGCCAUGCGUGGCAGAAACAGACAUUACAAAGUAACAGACAAUGAAGAGAUGAUUGCAAGCAACAAUGCUUCUUGACUCUUUGUUCGGAAUCAAAAUAACAAGCAAAGAAGGGACAAUGCGUGGUAAUAGCUUUAAUACAACUUACAAACAUCAAAAUAUGCUGAAAUCUGUCAAACCCAACUAGCCACUAACAUCAGUGGGUUGAAAGAAUAAGCAGGUAACCACAUUGCCAGAAAUGCCUAAACAAGCAAGCUAAAGUUGCUUACACUAGUUUGUAGCCCUUCAUAUAGCCAUCCAAUUUCCCACAAUACCCUACACGGGACUACGAGGUGAAUAAACCCCCUUUGUCAGGUCAGUGCAUCUACGUUCAAACAAGUCCUACUUCAAACAAAAUUGCCUCCACUGCCGGCUCAAUUAACCCCAUGAUACCAAGGGUAACACUAACAAUGUGGUUAAUGAUAGAACAAGAUAAGCCUUCAACUAUGCGAUGAAAUGUCAAAGCCAAGUUACUAACACAAUUAUGCUUGCUACAUAAUAAAGUAAUCCACUUUCCCCAAAUUUUUCCAAUAUGGGACCAUAAGUAUGUGACAGAAUCAGCUACCAUCACUAGGACCAGAAAAUUUAUCAACAGGAUAAAACAAACACAAACUUUAAAGAACGGCAUGGCCAAUCACAUCAAGCUGCAACAUAAACUUAUUUCUUAUUUAGUAACUCUUGCCCCCCUCUCUUAGUGUAAUUUCAUGAUUUCUCACAUAAAACUAUCCUUCACACAAAGAAACAGCAGAAGUACAAAAAGAAGUCUAUAACAAAGCUUUUCCAAUUAAGCUAUGCUCUGUGAAACUUGCAGGAAGAUUGGAGCCACUAACAACUGCAAUUUAUGCUUCUCUAGAACAAACGACAAAACGUAUAAUCACAAGCACUUUCAAUAUUGCAACCAGAUCAAUGAAUCAUGAAUGCAAUUUAGUUCUCACUAACUAUAAAAUGCAAAGGCUAUUUCCAUCCAAGGAUUGCCGUGCCAUUGGCACUGCCCUUGUCCCUGUGUAAGCGCCUAAGCAGCAUGGGAUGGCACAGCAUAGUGGCACUGGGCGUGCCAAUGUCGGCAUGUUCCCCCAUGCUAGUGGCACGCCACUGGCAAGAGUGCAUUUGCGUGGAUUUUUUUAUUAUAUUAUCAGGAAAAAUAAACUUUUUAGAGUGUUUUAAUAUCUCACAUAGUUUAUAUAUUAUAUCUCACUCUAUUUAGAAAUAGAGUCAUAAACAUAUACAUAUAUAAUUUCAUAAUAUAUAUAUAUAUAUAUAGGCUAGGGUUACUAUACUCUUAUAAGUAUAGAGCCCUUCAUACUCAUAAGUUGUUUUCAAUGAUGGAGCUUCCGAAUCGACGAUCCACUCCGUUAAAUAUGAUCUAGAGUAUUUGAAACUUCUAGAAAAUAAAUUUCGUAAUUUUUCGAAAUCAUAAUAAAGUUCAUCAAGCGGGUAUAAAAUGAAUGGUCAAAAUCGAACGGCGUCUUAAAAAUGGAUGAUCGGAUCCUUCAAUUUAAGAUCGGAGUUAUUGAUCUUUAUCUAUAUAGUGAAUAGAAUUUUCUAUCAAAAAUUCAACCGAUUUCGAUUCUUUUACACCGUUAAACUAGCAAAUAUUCCAUAUCGGCCAUUAAAACAUGUCAAUUUUGUGAUCUUUUGAUUGUAAGGUAAAUGAUCUCAAAAAAUUAUAAAAAUUGAUUUCUAGACAUUUUAAAUGCUCUAGAUAACGUUUAACGGUGUGGAUCGUCGAUUCGGAAGCUCUAUCAUCGAAAACAACUUAUGAGUACGAGGGCGAUCAUAGUCAUAAAAGUAUAGUAGCUGGACUCUAUAUAUAUAUAUAUAUAUAUAUAUAUAUAUAUAUAUAUAUAUAUAUAUAUAUAUACAGUCCGCUAAUAGCACUGAGCACUUGGUGCUACCAACCUUUUCACCAUUAGAUCUGCCCCUUUGACUAUUCUACCUCUUGGAUUAUGCUAUUCCACCAACCACCACUAAACCCUAGGGUGACCACUAUCACCCUAACCACAACCCUUCAUCCAAGGGCCGAAAACCCACAAACAUCAAUGACUUAGUACUAUUAAAAGUAUUCCAACCCAAUUCUAUGUGUGUGUGUAUAUAUAAUGAAAUUAUAUGCAUGAAACCAAAACCAAAAUCAUAAAUGAAAACAAAUUUGUAGGAAAAAAAAACAAAUUAUCUGUUAUUUUUUUUCCUUAAAAGUUUUUCUUAUUAUGCAAUGGAGCUUACUAAUUGAUCCAAAUGUAAGUAAAUUUAUAAGAUCUACAUAUUUUAAGUAUGAAAAAAUCUUUAGAAAACUUUUCCGUAAAAAAAAGCACAAAAAAAAAUUUUGUCGAUACAGUGUCAACACCAUCCCGUUCCUCAGGCCAACACAGCCUCGGUAGGGCAGCACAGGGUGGCACUGGCAAUCCUCGUUUCCAUCCAACUUCCACGGCAUUCAUGGUGUUGUAUAAAUCAAUAUUUGCAUGUUACUGUAACCUCUGAAAUGGCCAUUUAAAUUACCUCCUGAGGGAGAGAGGUCUUCAAAUAAAGCAUGGAAAUUUAGUGACGAGUGGUUAAAAUGGCUUUAGUUGCAUAUGAUGAAUGCAACUCAAUGGGCAUCAUUACAAUACAAAUUGAAAAGUAUCAUGAUGAAUGUAAGUCAAUGGGCAUCAUUAUAAUAUAAAUUGAAAAGCAUAAUGAUGAUUAUGUUGUGUUCUAUAAUUAAAGUCUCUGAAAGCUAUUUAUCUAGUUGCAGAGUUAAUAUAGCAAACUGUUCAUAUAUUUCACCCAAACAAUAUAUGGGAGGUUGGGAGUCUUCCUCAAAUGUCACAAAGAUGUACUCCAAGAAAUUUUCAAAUUGUCUUAACUCUUAACUUUAUGCCAAACAAUUCAGUGAAAGGCACGUGGAUUUUGGUCUUUAUGAACUAUGAAAAUGUACCCAAUGUCAAUGUCCAUUGCAAGACUGACUUUUCAAAGGCUAAUACUCCAGUACCUAAAAUCCCGUAUUCUCCGUCCGUGUACUUCAAAUACACCAAGAGCACCAUUGACUAACGCAAAAGCAAAACUUUCAGAAGUAUCAUCUGAAGAGUUCUCGGAGCUUGUCAUCUCUGCAAAGCAAUAUUCCACAAGAAAAUUAUGAUCACAAGAAAGUGCAAUAUAUUACCUAUCAUCAAAAAUCAUGAAAGUUCUAACAAACUGUAGAAGGAAAGAUACUAGGCUGAGAACAAAAUUUCUUACUAGAACCUGCUGAAGAUGCGCUUGCAGUUGAAUUUGCACCUGAAGACUGCUCCUUGGAAAAUGAAGAUUGUCUAGAAGGUCCGUUCUGAAUAGGUCGGGGUGCAGAUGGAAGCGUCCAUUCUAAUACCGUAAAUGGAAGAGCCAAGGACCUAAGCUACAUGAGUAAGCAAGGCAUAUCCGCGUCAUGAUAUUGUCUGGUACAUCUAUUGUUAUAGAUAUAGUUCAAUUAGAUCUCAGAGCGAAUAACUCUAGAGAACUUUCAUUUCGCUCAUAAAAACUGCACUGCGCUGAUACAUUAAGCGACAUAUUAGGGGUCCUUUCUUGGUUCACUACUACUAAUCUCAAACUUUUCAACCACAGGUUCAAGUUUUAGAGUAGCCACUUCCUCAAAAGUGCUGAAAUAAAGGCCUGACCUAAAUAACCUCACUUCAAUCCCCAUGCUGCCACUCUGGUGAGAUGAUACUGAAUCUAAGAUGCAACGUCUAAAUAAGUAACAAUCACAUAAACUUAUGACAAAAGAAAAGAACAGCACCAAUAUGAGAAGUCAAGAGAAGGAGCAUAACCAUAAUGCCAAUUGCCAAAAUAAUAUGCCUAACUGAUUCUCUAAAUUAUGGUUACAAAACGUAUAUUGAUUAAUUCUUAUAAAAACAUGAUAGCUAGAGCAUUUACUUGUUUGUCCCCAAGAUUACUAUUUACUUGACAAACAAGAUCUUCCUGUCACUAAACUAGAAAAGAUACAAAUUUCAUGGAGGCCAUCUAAGAUUCAAGCUUAUAAAUAAGAUUUUAUACGAACCAUUAUGGGAUUCUUUGUCAUUGCCCACACCUCCACUGGAGCAUCGCGAAACAUAAUAAGAAGGUACCUGCAAAAAAAAAAAAUUUCAAAAUUCCUUGAUUUGUCCUAAAAUUGUGGAAAAGACACCUAAUAAGAAUCACUUCGAUGAAGCCAACUAAAGGAACGUAAGUCUGUUAUGUUCAUAAAGCCUCAAAAGGAGUCCUGCCUCUAAUUCUUAGUUGAUGGCAUAGCAGUUACUUAAAUCAUAAAAUUGUUUUGCAUUCUAAAUGCCCUUGAAACACAGGAAAAGAAUAAGAUUAUUACCAUCAAAGCAGUUCAAUAAAGUCUAAAACCUUGUAGUAAGAGUUGCCUGGAUUGAACUUGGAUAUUUUUAAGAAAAACAUUUCAAGUUUUUCCUCAAGAGGACUAUCAUGUUCAAAGAGGUUGGCUAAGUAGGAUGACCUUUUUUCUUUAUUACAGUACAUAAUGGGAAUAAUAAUUAUGCAUGAAUUUUUGUCCCCCAUAUACUGAAGUCACUGCAUGCAACCAAAAAGGAAAUACUGAAUUUCCAACCUAGAAAAUAGUUUACAAAUAUUCUCAAUAUAAGACUUGCAUUUCAUUACAAAAGGCUAAUAGAAGAAAUGAAUUCCAUCUACCAGUGCCAGGAUUGCAUAAAAUUUAUCGAAAAGGAAAAAAAAUUAAUAGGGUGUACUUCUUUUUAUUCUAUAUACGUGAUGUACAGAGCAAUUUUCAUAAGUGGCUGCAUAACAUUAGGUGUUACUCGACAACUUGAUUAGAAUUAGCUUUAGCCAUUAAUGCUAUCAAAACUUACUGGCUAUUUAGCAGAACAGAUAUUUAAACAUCUAAAGCAAGUUUUUAAUUAAUUGAAACAUCUAAAGCAAGUUUUUAAUUAAUUGAAACAUCUAAAGCAAGUGUGCACAUUAAUGCCAAAGAUAUCAAAGGACUAAAGUUCCAAGGCAUGGCUGCAUAAUGAGCAUCAGUAGCACAAUAGACACGGGCAGAGGGCUGUGCCAUUCAUACGAUGGCAUGAAGAUAGGCAUGGAAAGCCUUCAACUGGCAUGCACAGGUACAGUUUAGCAAGGUCCUAUUAUGGUUUUUUUUUGGUUCCAAGGUCUUGUAAGGGUUUAUUUCAAUAAACAUGAUUCUUGACUGUAUUGUUGGCUUCUCCAACCUAUUGGCAGUGGUAGGUUAUAUACUUAGUUGAUGCAUAAAACUCUAUGUAUGAAGUCUAUAAAACCAUUACGAAAUUCAUAAUAAGUACAAAAUAGAGCAUAGCACUAAAAAGAUCCAUAUAAUUUGCACAAUGAUAGAGAGAGGAGUUGAUCAAGUGGAUCUACACAUUCCUUAAUUUAAUCUUUACGCUUAUAUUCUCAGAAAAUAAUAACAAAACUUGGGAAAAUCCUAAAUCGUCAAGGGAGAGAGUUCUUCCUCCUGUUUCUUUAUUUUACUCUUCUAUGGAUGUUGUGAGAGGUAUGAGGAAAGAGGUGAAGACAGAGGGAGAGGGUAAGGAAGGAAAGAAAACAGAAAAGGAAGAACGUGGUGUUUUAUCACAUAUUCAGAAUGCAUCGCAUCACACAAAGCAUACUGAAAUUUCUCCUCAGAACACCCAACAAGUUUGAGGGAUGGUGAGAUGCCCAAUACCCAUUGUGUCAUGUGACUACAAGUCAUAGGCACAGCAUGACAUAAUUAAUAUGUCUGGAUACACGCGAUACUGAUUCCUUGAUACGUACUAACCGAAUAACGUGAAAUUAUCUAACUUACGUUAAUCAAAUUUAUUUUCAACACUUACAGGUACAAAGGUUAAAGUAAUAGGUACAUGCUUGUGUCAUGUGAUUCGAUACUGAUUCCUUGAUACAUACUAACCGAAUAACGUGAAAUUAUCUACCUUAUGUUAAUCAAAUUUAUUUUCAAUACUUAGCAGGUACAAAGGUUAAAUUAAUAGGUACAUGCUUACUGUAAAGAAAACUAGUACCUUAAAGCCAAUGUCAAUUCAUUUUCUUGAUACAUAUGGUUUUCAAGGGGCUAUUACUCAAUGAAGAGGUAAAGAAACUUUGGCUUUGCAACCUCAUGGCUGCCUGCUUUAAUUGAUGAAGCAGACAACCAUAUGAAAAAAUUAGUGAGCAUUUUGCUAACUACAUAAUGUUAAGAAACACUGAUGCUAGUAGUUGUUUCCUACACCAGUAAUAUGUAAUAACUUAAAUUAACAUGUUUGGAAAUAAUGCUGUACCUGCACAACCGAUAUUAAACCUAGUAGGCUGAAAAAUAAACAAGGUCUAGCUUUUUACCCACAAUGUGUAUUCUUUACUAAUUUUUGCCAAAAGCAAUGUAUGUAGCCAACUCCACACAAAACCCAACCCCACCAACCCGAAACCCAACCCNUGAUGUAGACUGCGACGGCUGCUUCUCCUAUCACAUCUAGAGCCACCAGCGGCAUAGAAAAAAAAAAAAAGAAACCGCAAGCACCAUCUUAUACAAGAAAGACCACAACUACUGAUGUGAUAAAAAGACAGAACGAAAAGCAAACCAACGAUCAUAACAAUUCAAGUUUCUACUGCACAGUUCAAAGAAUCCACCAACAUGAUCCUUCAGUGAGCAUGCAGUGGAAUAAACACAAGCAGGGAUUGGACUAUACCAGAAAAGAUAAUAGAAGGAACAAAUAACUUCACAAGUUAUUCAAAAGUAAAAAAUAAUAAAGUCUAGAUUUCACGCCAAAACCAACCGUCCUGAUGAAGAAGCCCUCAAAGCUCUUAUUGGUGCACGUUCAGGCUUUUGAAGAACCCGAAAAGAACGAUUCAGUCCGCUUCUAAGGCAGGUUAUGACAAGUCUGUUAGUGUAACCACCUCCUUUAUCAUUUACCUGAUCUCAUCAACUUAUUCAUCAUCAGAAUAAACCAAUUAGAAUGAUAAUGCACUUUCACAUUAAAGGAAUGAUGACAGAUAACAAAGUAUGCAAUUACGUUCCAUACCAAAGAUGUUUAUGCCCAAAAACCAACAAAAUAGGUCUAAAAUGAUGAAGCGCAGCACCUAUAGUGCAUGCAGACACACAGUUCAGCAACGCUCUCACUUCACAAGAUGAAAACUAUGAGAGACCUAUGUCGUAGGAUAAUCUAAAAUCACCUGAAAUACCAGCCAGGCAGAAACAUAAUCCUAGACUAAAACAGAAGGGGAGCCACGACUCAAAGAAGCAAUCAUUGAUUACCAAGUCUUUGCUUCUUGCAUAUAAAGAUCACAAAUGAAUCAUUUUAACUUCGGAAGUCGAGCAGAGCAACCUAACAUGUAGGCCAAGGUCAUUUACUCAAAAGACCAAUAAGAGAAGAAAAUGAACCAAAGAGAUCUCAUGGUGCAACCAGACUGACAUGGGAAGAAAAGAAGAUAAUGCUGAUCUUAAAAAAAUAUUACAAGGAAUUGAUGAAACAGAUCACAAUACAACGACUUUUUUUCGACAAUAAAAAAUAGUGGUUUUCAAAUAUUAAUAAUAGUUUUAGUACAUAAAUGUAUUAUGACUUAUCCUCCUUGUCCCAAGCAUAUGUAUUUUACAAAUUAUCACAAACCCAAUUACUUAACAAGUAUCACUUGAAAUCUUUACUUCAAUAUUGGGGGACCUAUCCUUUUAUUACGGAUAAAACCAAGGAUUAUUGUAUGACACAAAGGAAUAAUUAAUUGCAAUUCUUAGCAGAAGACUGAUUGGGUCAGAAUGGACACUCUGUGCAUAAUUAAUUAAUGGGAUAAUUGCCUAUAUACCCUUCAUGCGUUUGAAAAUAUCCGAUUUACCCCCUUUUUUUUUUCUUUCUAAAAUACCCCUCAUAUAUUUCACCGUUAUUGCAAAAUACCCCCACAGUUAUCUCCUGUUAAGUAAACUUGGGUUAAACGUGACUUCAAUAUCUAGCACAGUUUAAAAAAAUUAAAAUGCCAAUUUUGCCCUUCACUUAAGGGCAAAUAAGAAAUGUUGGUGACGGUAGAGAGGGUAUAUUUGAAAAGACCAGAAGUCAAAAUACUUUUUGUGCCCCUGACUUUAAGGGCAAAUAAGAAAGUCAGUGAUGGUAGAAGGGUAUAUUUGAAAGAGUAAAAUAGUAAUUUUACAGAGAUAACAGAAUUCAUUAACAGAUUUUAACUCUAGGGGUAAAUUAAAAAUAGGUUAGAACAUAAAAAGGGUAUUUUUAAUAUUAACCUUCUAAGAGGGGUAAAUCGGAAAGGCGGAAACUUUUCAGGGGUAUAUAAACAAUUGCCCCUUAAUUAAUUUAUCCCUGCAGGCUACUGUUCAUUAAGAAAUAUAAUCCCAUAGGAAUGAUUAUAGUGCAUAAGCAAAAGGUAAACUUUUGAGUCACAAAACCAUGAGCAUGGGAAAAUGCAGGGCCAAAACACACUAUGCACAAGUUGGACCGAAUUUCAAUCCAAGUCGAAAUUUCUACAUUAUAGGGUUGCAUAGUUAAUUAUUGUGCUUAAAGAAUCCUCAAAUUCUUUUGAUUCAAAAUCAUCUGCAACUUAAUAAGCAACCUAUAAGAAAGACUAUGUGCAUAAUAGUUUGAAUUUGAAGUGACUUGAGAAUCCAAUUCAUGUGAGAAAUUAUGUGCAAGUUCAUUUUGAAGGAACUCUUUAGUUUGUUGUGCGCAAAUGUUAUUUGCUGCAUACUAAAAAGUUCAGAUUUGAAGAAAGUUGAUAAAGUAUGUUGACCAUAUAUUAUAAAGCCAGACAUGAACUCUCAGGCUUCUCUGGGUUAAUAAUAAUAUUAUAAAAGGAAACAAAACAGAUUUUACUUCAUACAAAAAUAUACCUGACUGUAUGAGAACGAAACUAGUCGAGAAUUCCCAAGCCACCUUAAUCCUCUAAUGGCACUGUUGUGAACAGAAAAGCUUGCCGUGACCACACUAGCUGAAACAUCUACAACGUCAAUAGCACCACUCUGAGUUCCUAAAGCAACAAGGGGAACAGCCGGUGCAGGAUUGUUGCCGCCACCUUCAGAUUGGAGAUCAGUCAGUCCGUACUACCAGAAAUCUAAAUUGUCACAGGGGAAAAUUAAAUGCAAGGACAAGUGGAUAAGAAAGCAUAAGAUGAAGGAACUUACGGGCCAAAGUAGCAAGUAAAGAUGGAGAUGGUACAGCAAGAGUGGUCACCGUAGAAGAAAGAAGAUGAAGCUGGCCAAUCAAGCUAAUCUGUAAAGAAAAAGAAAGGAUAUUCACAUUAUACCAAGUUACCAAGCCGGGGAAGCAAAAAAGACGACAAAAUAGAAAUUAAAAAAAAAAAAAAAAGAACUGCAGCAAUGGCAAGGAAAAAGAACAGAAGCAGUGAGAAAAGAUUGCUAAUCUUUAAAGUUACUGUAAUCAAUAAUGCAGAGUGAUAACUUGCAAUUUAGCAGGUAUUUGCCAAUCUUCAUAAGACAAGCAGUUUCAACAAAGCAGCUGCUGCCAGAACAGGUGUAGACUGUGCCUCAUAGACUAAACUUCAUAAAUGUGGUAUGUAAUAGAGUGAGACUAAAAUAGUUUACUUUUGCCUAUGCACAUCGAUCCCUGGAGACAAACAUAGAAAGCAACCAUAUCAUGUGCAGUUUCAAUUGCCAAAUCUACAAAUGCUUAUAUGAUAUAUCAGCUCAGAAACAGCUUCAACAGCAUUGUGAUUCUUAAAUACGAGUUACUGUGAGAUGUAAGUGCGACACCCACCCCUUGGAAACAUAAAUAACCUCAAUUUGAUCAUCCUAUUUGGAAAUAUCAAAUUUGAAAUAAAGGAAAAACAAUGCAUGGUUAUUUUAUUAGAUCUACCAGGAACAAAGUUUAUGAGACUAACAUAGUCCAGCUUCACGAAAAGUUGGUUCAAACAAUGAAGUGUUUGCUACCAAUUUCUUCAGUUCAAUCAUUUAUAAAUUUCUGAAGGAGCAAAAUUGCACAUAAAAACAAUGUCCAUAAAUUAUUGAUUACUUCUUCAUUCUUCAUAGUUAGAAGAAAUUUACCUUGGUAAAUCCCUUAGAUUUCUAAUUUUAGGAAAAGCAAGGGAUAUGUUGUUAAACUUGUAAAGCAGCAUAUUACCAAUGGGAUUUGGCAGGCACACUCUAUUUUCUAUAGUUUUGUCGUUUGGGAUAUUUGCCUUUAUUGUCGUUUACUUAUUUCAAAAUUAGAAAUCUAAGGGAUUUAUUGUCGUUUACUUAUUUCAAAAUUUCUUCUAACUAUGAAGAAUGAAGAAGUAAUCAAUAAUUUAUGGACAUUGUUCAAUUUCUAUAGUUUUGCCGUUUGGGAUAUUUGCCUAUAUUUGCCUUUUCUAAUUUUAGGAACAGCAGUUACCAAUGGGAUUUGGCAGGCACACUCUAUUUAGUGAAAGGUAAACUUUCCAACACUUCCAAGUCUCAACCAAAAACUAGCAGAUCUUGCAUCAGACACGAAUAUUUGACAAGGCAAAUUAGACAUUCUGACCAGAUAAUUUAGAUGACGGAUUUCAGGUUGAUAAACAGUUGUCCCAGCCACAAAGCAAUAGAAGAAUGCAGAGACCGACAAACACAAAAGUACAGAUCACAACAAGCAUGGAUAAUUUGACUAAUACAUUUUCCUUUACCUCAUGUGGUUGCAUAUUGCUAGAUGGUUAUGUUCAGAUGCCAAGCAAAAAUAGUUACCAUAUUGGUGCCAACUAAAACAAUGAGAGUAAUAGAGAAGAUUUUAGGGUGACAUAUACUUGUACGAACACACGACUGAAAACUGUAGGCAAGGUUUUGUUAAUGAUAAUCUACAAACAUAAGAGAAAGGUCGAAAAGGACUACAACAACCUUCAUGGACAAAUCCCCUCCAUUGGACCUUGAGUUCCUAAAAUAAGGAUUGCUAUUGUUGAUAAGCUCUAAUUCUUUCACUCGAUCCAGCGGAACUGUAGAUAAAGCAUCACCUGCUGGUCCAAUAUGUGUAUGUGAAAUCAAUUCUUCACCGACUUGGGUAGGCUUGUAUACAUUGAAUGAAGCUGUCUGAGAGAAUCUCUCCAUGCCAGAAGUCAAAAGCCAGCGCCAGAUCUUCCCAUCAUCAGAAAUGGAGAUGAAGUAUGUAUUAGAAAAUAUAUCCAUAUAUCUACUAUGAUUUUUGCGUGCAACAUCAUCAACCGAAAAUUGUCUAUCUGAUAGGUCCAUGAAGAGCUUCUUGACAUUUUGACUAGCAGAAUCUGACAGGCAAAGAGCGACAGCAAGAACAGCUGGAGAUGGAACAGCAGUACCAAUUGACGGCAUCAGCUCUUCAAUUGUGCACAGCACGUGCACCUGUUCUUCUCUACAAUCAUAAGUAGAUUUAAGUAACCAAUACAUCAGAAAAAGCAAAAUUACUAGUUUUAGAUCAUGUUUUGAAUAAUUAUAGCAUCACUUCAACACGUAACAAGUGAAAAGAUAGGCUUUAUCUCAUGUAAAAGGAAGUACACAAAGCGUAUACAAAUUAUAAACGUGAAGCAUAACGGAGCAACAUUAGGAGUAAUAUACAUAUGUGGAAAGAGAAAUGUUUCUGUUUUUCCUUAGUUGUUCCCUUUCCACCUGGGACAAAUGAUGUCCAUUAUGUCUAGGAAAACUUUGAAUUUUGCCUUUAGAUACCACAAGAAUAAAGCAAAUCAGUGAAUCAUAAAUUAAGGAAAAUUGAAUGAGCUGAUAACUAAGAAGGGACUUUUUUUCAAUUUAACCCUUUAAAAAUUUAUAAUUGGCCUAAUAACCUUGUAAAAAAUUUAUUUGGCCAAAUAACCUUAUUUGUCCAAUGCGGCGCUAGAUUAGAAAAAUAAUUGAAAGACAGUCAAUCAUUUAGCGCCUUUAACGCAACUUAGAAGACAGUCGCCGUCUUUUUCUUAUUUUUUAAAGACGGUAAAUGAUCCACCGUCUUUCCCUUAAAGAAGAAAAUGGUUAAUGAUUUACCGUUUCUUUCUAUUUCCCAUAUAUAAUUUUAACAAUCACAUAAAAAUUUCAACAAAUUACAUUUAUUAAUUCUAACAACCUAAAAUAUCCUAACAAUCUAUCCAUACAAUUUGCACCAUCAAAUAAAAAUUCUAACAAUAAAUGGCGAAUUAUCCUCCACUUUCUAAAGGCAGUAACGAUUCACCGUGUUCCUCAAUUGAGUUGGCAGACGAAGGGUUAGUUUGCCAAAUAAAAUUUUAAAAGGGUUAUUUGACAAAUUAAAAAUUUUUAUAGGGUUANAAAGAGUCCAGUGAUAAGGCUAUGGCCAUUUAAUGCAAUAGCCAAAAAAGAGUACUUUAAGAAAUAUGAUAAGUUGACAAACAAGCAUUAUUCAGCUCCUGUACAUAUAAACCGUCUCAAGUUGUAGCAAUUAGAAACAAUUAGAAUUACCCUAUUCAGAAAUUCAAUUUAAGGCAUAAAAUUUCUAAUUUAAAUAAACUUGUCGAAUGAAAACCUAAUUGAUUCAUCUGUCUAUUCAUCUAGUUUGGGACUAAAAGGAAAAGACAAAAAGAGGGAAAAAUUGCAGACGAUUCAACUGUGUCCCCUGUUGGACAACCCUUUUCGUUAGAGAAUGGAGUUAGCUGCAAGCGUUCCUUGAUGUUCAAAAUUAUUAAAAAAAAAGACCGAACGCGUUCGCAUCGACGGUGAUAGAAUUGCAGGACAUAAAACUUAUCAUCAUUAGAAUAACGAAGAUGAGGAGAAGACACUCAUUGGAAAGAUAAGUUCAGCGAGGGCAUGGCCAAGCUUACUCCUUGCGUUUCCAGAUGCUUAGUUUCCCAUCAAGAUGAGCGCAGUAGAGCAUAUCAAGGUCCGGGUCGGGCAUCAGAUCCAGGAACUUACCGCAGCCGCGGGGCAAAGCGGUGGAAGAGAGAGCCGUUCCAUACUGAAGGUCGAAGACAAUGAGCUCCUUCGGGAAAGUGAUCGCGAGGAUGUGCCGCCAGCGGGGCGAGAAGCACAACCUCGCGAAGAAGAGCGGGAAGGCGGCGAGGGCCGGAGCGGAGGCCGACGCAUCCUUGUCGAGCUUCUGGAGAUCGGAGGAGGCAUCGCCGGUCCCGGGGAUCCGAUGCUCCUGCAGGGAGACGUCGGCGAAGGUUUCGCCGUCGGGGACGCCGAGGAGGAUGGCGGAAAGGAGGAAGCCGCGGAGGCCGAGAGCGCAGAAGUGGCGGGAAUCGAAGGGGUCGCGGCGGAGGCAGGAGAGGUACUCGGGGGCCGCGUCGUACUUCCAGAGGCAACGGCCGGAAGCGGGGUCCCAGAGGAGGAGGAGGGAGGGCCCGUGGACGGAGGCGAGGAGCCAGGCGGCGUCGGAUCGGAUCCAGCACAGGUCCUGUAUGCCGAGCCGGGAUCGAGUGCCGCCGGAGCCGUCGGAGAGGGAGUCGAGGUCGAGCCACAGGAGGAUCUGGCGGCAACGCAGGUCCCAGAUGGCGACGCGCCCCUGGCGAUCGCCGACGGCGAGGCGGAGGGGGGAGUUGGAGGGCUCGUCGUGGGCGGAGAGGUCGUGGGAGAGGGACUGCGGGGUCCAGCGGACCGACGUCACGAAGGGCGCGAGGGCGUGGGCGGCGGCGGCGGCGGCGGAGGAGGAGGAGGAGGACGACGAGGAGGAGGACGAGGGGGCGGGCAUGGGGAGCACCGAGACCAGCUGCAUCGAACGUGGAUCCGCCACCACGACGCUGCUGCCUGCGCCGUAGGCCAGGAGCCCUCCGUGGCUGGAGUCGACGCAGCCGCCGUUGCUGCGGCUGGGGGGCCCAGGGAGCAUGCCGUCCCACGUCUCCUGGGAUCGCGCCAUUCCCCUCCCCUCUCCCCUCUUCCUGCUACUUCCUCAGUCGUCCCUACCCUUUCAUAUUGUCGUGUCCAUAUAAAAGCCCCGGCCCAAAAUUUCUUUUUUUAAAGGUAAACUUCAAAUAUCACUUACGUGAUUUUUCAGUUUCUCAUUUUACUAUCUUAUAAUUUAAUAUAUUAAUAUUAAUUUAGUAACUUAUGAUUUUUUUUCUUUUCACCGUACCCUUCAUUAAUUUUUUAUUAAAUUAUAUAUAAAAAAAUUUUAGAUACUCCGUUUAUAGUUUAUCAAAUAUUCACUUUAAUAUUCUUUAGUUUUAAUUUUAUCAAAGAUUUAACGAAAAAAAUAAAAAAAGAGAUAAUAAAAAAAAAUAAUAAAAUCACAGGGUACGAAAGUGAUACACUUUAAACCAUAUGGUACUAAAAUGAAAAAGUGCAAAACCAGAGAAAUAGUAUUUAAAGUUUUUCCUUUUUUAAAAAAAAAUAAUUUUUCAAAUUGGUCAAACUUUCAAAAUUUUUGUCAAUUCAAUAUUGUAUUAUUAUUAAAUAAAGGGGCAAAAAAAAACGACCAUAAAUUGUUUAUUAUCUUUAAUUAUUUAUAGAUUCUUUUUUACAUAAACUGUUUAAGGUCUUUUUUUCUUUUGAAAUUAUUAGGAUCAUAGUUAUGCAAUAACUAAAUAGAAAGUGAUAUAAUUACAGUAGUAAAAAUAUACUAAACUCAACUAAACAAGCCCUAAAGUUCAAUAUUUUAAGUAAGUUGUGCCCUUUCUAACUACUACGCUUGUAGAAUCUUAUGGUACUUUUUUGCUUGAUUGAGAAUUUUUCUUUCCAUGUUUUUAGAUAUUUGGACAUAGUCUUAAAUAGUUUUGUAUUUAGCAAUUUGAACAUUUUUUAACAAUUUCAAACUUAAUUGCAAUCCUUCAGAAAACUCUAUGUAAAAGUUACUCCAUAUGUGACGUAUGUGAUAUAAUUCAUGUGAAGUGAUGCAUGUAAAGUGAUCCAUGUGAAAAGUAAAAUGAUGCAUAUAUAGUAAUGCUGGAUGCUAGUGAAAUGAUGAAUAGUAAAUAAAAAAUUUCAAUGUUAGACCCCACUCCUAAAUGAUCUUGUAUUCAAAAUUUAAAUAAAAAAUUUAAAUUAAUGUCAAAUAAGUUGAUUUAAACUAGUCCUUAAUGUCUAAAAAAAGAUAUGGACUUAUAUAUAUACAAUUAUAUUUUUCCUAAUUUGAUACUUGGGCUUCUCAUGGAAGUCCAUAUUGACACAUGCACAUCGUGUGUCACAGCCUUCACAGCCUCAUGAGACCUUAUGUUGAAGCGUCAACAUGCAUCUUACAAAUAUAUAUAUGUGUGUCAUUUCUCACUUCUACGUACACAAAUAAAAACUUCCAUCUCUUUUACCUUUAGGAUGCGUUUGAUUUGCGCUAUCUUUUAAAGAUUCUUAGCAAUUCAAUGGGAAUAAAAAAAAUAUAACGGUGUUUGGCUAAACGCACUAAGUAAUCUAGUUGGUAAUAUUGGAUUCACUUGGGAAUAAGAUUCACCCAAAGUACUAAUCUCAUUUCCUUGAGGGAGGGUGGGUAUCCUCAUAUUAAUGGAUUGAGGUAAUCAUAAUAUGUCUAAUCACUUUCUUUCUUCCUACCCGUCGGUUAAUUGAUAUUAUUUUUCUUUACACUCUAACCUUAUAUCUCUCUCUAAAUUUAUUUUUCUCUCUAAAAUUCAACUUUUUUUCUCUCUCUAAACAAGCUUUCUCUCUCUCUCUCUCUCUAAAAUUUCAACUCUCUCACUCCCUCUAAUUUUGACUAUAUUUUUCUUUCUUUUUUUUAAUUAUGCUCUCUCUCUCUAACUUAUACUUUUUUUUCUUUUUUCUAAAAAGAUGUUGAAACUUUUGGUGACAUUAUCUAAAAUAAAAUAAAUAAAUAAAUAAAUAAAUUGUAUAUUUUUUGUAAUAUUAAAUAACAUGGCUAAUUAAUAUUAUCGUGCGAACCAAACACAAGAAUUUCACAUUCUUAGUAAUAGGUUGAAUAGGAAUAAAAUUGUCGGAUAUCUUUUAUUCCUAGUAAUCUUUCAUAAUGCGAACCAAACGCACCCUUAGGCUAAGGAAGCACGGAAAGUAGGAGAGUGAAGGAUGUUGUUGGACCUAAAGCACUACUUUUACGAACUACAGCAUGUGAGAUAUUUUAAUUUUAGUAAGUAUAAUAAUUACUAGUGUAAAAUUGUUGGUGUAAGGGUACUACAAAUAACUAUUAUGCCAAUAAGACUGUAAUUUGGGCCAUUGGCCCAGCAUGCCCAUGAUGUCGGGCCGAACCAGCCUGGCCCAGAACAAGCUCUAUAAUACUCGUGCCAUGCCGAGGCCCAGCCCAUAGUCAUGUGUCGGGCCGUCCAUGCCCAAAAAAGACAAGAAAACAUAUCAUUUGCUGCCAAGGUCGAUUUAUUGUUGUUCUCCAAACAAUCAUGAAGGGUUGACAUAGACUUUUGGAAAAAGUAUAGAUUGGGCCGACCUAUCUUUGGGCGGGUAUUAAUUAGGUCGAGCCUGACUUUUUCAUUGAUAUUUCAGAUCUUCAACCCACUCUGCCGGAUAUCUAGGCAGUCAUCCUUCUUGGAUAUAGGAAGCUAUCUUUUCUCUUUUCUGAAAUUUUUUUAUUUUUUUUUUGAGAGAUAGAUAGCACGCUAUCCGCUUUGUUUAUUUCAUUUAGAAAUACACUUAGCUAGAAAUGUGAAUCAACUAGGAUUCGAACUUGGGUCUCGGGUACCAACCACCAAGCCUUUUACCACUUGCUCUAGGGACGGUCCCGCUCCAUGGGACAACGUAAUUACAAUCCAAAUAUCCAUACUUUGAAUAGAGAAAAGUUACAACUCCUGAGAUCUGUGACGAGAAUAGUGCUCCUUGGAUUCUCGCGUAUGACGUACGCAUUCGAUUCGAUGCCUAGGUAGACAUGAGUACUAAACAAGGGACUAAAUAGGCCUAAACAAGGCCCAUAGUGAUCCAGCCAACCAGGUAGCUGGAGCAAAUGUUCAAUAUAGGUCCAUCUUAUGCAUAAUUGAAUGGCUAAACUAGCACAGAACAGAACUAUUCUACAAAAAAUUGUCCUAGAUUUUAUUUGUUUUCUAUUUUUUUUUUCCUUUUCUUUUACAUUAUUCUUCUUGAUCCAAGAAAAAUAAAUAUAUUUCCAAAUCAUUAAUUAAUACACCAAUACAGAAAAAGUAUGAAGGAAUGAAAGAGGGGUAAUCAUUUUUUUUAGAGAGAGAUAGGUAGCACGGUACCCGCUUCGUUUAUUUCAUUUAGAAAUAAACUUAGCUGUAAAUGUGAAUCAACUAGGAUUCGAACUUUGGGUCUCGGGUACCAACCAUCAAACCCUUUUGCCACUUGCGCUAGGGACGGUCGAUUUCUUUAGUAAUAGUCAUAUUAUAUUUUUCCUGUAGCAGAAAAGCAUGUUUAGAUAGUACAAAGAUGUUAAUAGGGGGUCAUGGUCAGCCAUGCUCAAUGUCCACAGUGUAGAACAUUAUCAAGAAGUAUAAGGUGAAUAUGAGGUAUAAUUACAGGAGAGAAAUGAAAAAUCAAACAUAUAAUAAUCUCAUGGUAUUAAAGAUUUAGUUAUAUGGUAUUUACAACCUGUGUAAUUCAACUGACAGUAGAUAGGAGAAAAGCUUCACCUUGUUCCACAAGCGAAAUGCAUGAAAGAUCCAAGGAGACAUGUAAUAUACCGAAACUUGGUAGAGAAUAUCGAACUUUAGUUAAAUUGACCAAAGUGCAUCGAUAGAAAUAGUUGGACAAAGUUCAUUUAACAUUCCAACCAUGUUGGAAGGGUUAGAGUUGAGUUCCAAGUGAGUUAGAAGUUUUUAGCAUUGCUCGACGCGAAAAGAAGCCAAGCACUGCCAGAACUGCAAGUCUAGAGGUUUGCUUAACCGGUAAAGGAUUGGAGUAGUACCGGUACCAGGCAGGCCACCCGAGAAACUAACUCUCGGAUUUGGCCUCUGUCAGGUUGCUUAACCGGUGACACCCCUGGUGCGUACCGGUACCCCGCAGCAAUCCGAAAAUAGCAGUCUCGGGUUUGGACAGUUGAACAGGGGGCGUACCGGUGAUGCCAUCCCGCGUACCAGUGCGCAGUGCUGUAGACAGCAGGGAACUCUACUCCAAGGUGGAUUUGGAGGAGAUUGGAGAAGGAUUUGGAGAUUUUGGAGCUUUGGGAGGACCUUGGGCUCUCCUACAAGGUGUAGCUUCGUGAGCUUGUGGACUAAGGUAAGAUUUCUUGCAAAAUCCUUAUUAGGGCUUGGUUUUAUGCCCAAAACCUCUUUGAUUUGAGUCUUUUGCAAGAUUAGAAAUCUUGGGAAUCCUAGAAAUCCCAUGAUGAACCUAUUGUGUUCAUGGUAUGAAGCCCUAGGGUUGAGAUUAGGGUUUAUGGUUUAAAUGCCCUAAAAAGGGAUCUAGAUGAGUUUCUAGAUGUUAUCAAGUUUGCCAUUGCUUGAGUGGAAAUGAAUUUAUAGUGUAUGUUGCACAAGUGUAAUGUUAGGGUACCAAAAUUGGUGCUUUUGACAUAAGUUGGUUUAAAGAUAAAUUGACCUUGUAGAAACCCAAUUGAGGGUAUUUCUGACGCGUUGGGAGACUCAGUUCGAGGAUCCAACGGGUCUACGUAAAGUUAUUGGGGAAAAAGCCUAAUUUGGUUUCAUUUUGCCGCAGGUAAGAGAAUAGGCGUCCAAAAAUCACGAGAUUUCAACCGUAGCACCCUAGUAACCAUACGAGGUGGGUGGUGCUUUCCGAAAUCCUUGAAUUUUCUUUUAUGUCUAAAGUGUCAGCUUCAUUAUGCAUUGUAGGGUUGAUUUGAGAUUUUAAUGUUGCAUGUUAUGAGUACAAAUACAUAUGAGAUGGUUGUAAAUGAUUGAGAACAUGUAAAACCCUAUGUAUGCAUGAAUGUUGACAAGAACCUAGAAAAGGCAAAGAAUCUAGUGACAUUGAGAAUAAUGACAUUAUGACAUAAGGAUUGUGUGGCAUUAAUAAAUAAAAUAAAUACUAGAAUUGGAUUCUUAGUUCAGUGGCAUCAAUGAGUUUUGAAUGCUAGAGUUGAACACUUAGUGUGUGGCAUUAAUGAAUCAAGAAUGCAUGUGAAUGAGUACAAAGAAUAUGUAGUGUAAGUGAUACUAAUAAAAGUAGAGAAUGCAAGUAAUGUGAGAUGGCUGACAUUAUGACAUAACAACCUUAUAGUUAAGGGUCAUAUGAGCAUUACAUCCUUAUAGUUAAGGAACGAAUUGAAUUUGGAACCCUUAUAGUUAAGAAUUGGAUCAUACUCGCCUAUAAGUCUUGGCUCGGAGGGUGGUAGCUCCCCUCGAGCGAUGAGCUCCGGAGUUGUCAUCACUGGGUUGGAGUCUUCCCAGAGGACGGUCCCAUCGGAAGGCAGCUGAGGGCCCGACACAAAGGGAUUUGAGUUGGUGAGUUGUUUCGGGCGAAGAACCUACGGAUUAGCCAAGUAGAUUGAGAUAUGGAAAGUAGAUUUUGCAUUCAACAUGAGCAUUCUAUUUGAGCAUAUCAUUGAUUAUAUUUUGUUCAGACAUAUUAGCUGCAUUUGUAUAGUUUGGUUACUAUCUAUCUGUUAUUCUUCUACUAUGCCUGAUUUAGAUCUAGUGGGAAAGUAGGCGAGGUCGGCGGCCGAACCCACUGGGAACUUUGUUAUAGUUCUCACCCCACUAUUUUCACAGAGCCGGGACCUUGUGAGCCGGCAGACGAUCGCGGUAAAGGUAUCGCGCCAUAGACAGAGACUACCCAAGUUGGUUCAUAUUUUGUUUAGUUGCAUACCCCUUUUAUAUCAUCUUUUGUACUUUGAUGAUUAUAGAUGUAUCAAAGAUGUUUAAAUGAAAGAAUGUAAAAGCUUAAGUCUUUGGAUAAAAACUUGUUAUGUAAUUUUGGGAGACCAUAUGAUGUAAAAAGAAAUGAUGAAAAGAAUGUGAAUGUAACAUGUGGUUGAACGCAUGUAUGUGAUUAAAAGAUAAUCAUUGUACUUGUAUGAAUGUUUAGUUUAGUACUUUCACUUUUGGCUAUUGCUUGCCUUCGUGCAAGUCAUAUAUGUUUAUGUUUCCGCAUGUACAAACCUUAUACUUUGUUUGUACUUGUGUUGAGCCUUGGGCGGACAGGAGAGGUGCUGUCCGUUCCGCGUCUGUUCAACAUGCCCGAACCGACCAAAUAGGAUCGGUCGCGGGGCGUGACAAGACAGAAAACCAAAAGCUUCGCUAAUUCUUGGGCAACAUGAUACUGCAGUGCAUGUAAAUAUAUGCAUUUUAGUAAUUUACAUAAUGCAAAGAGUGAUAAACCCAUACUCCAAUACUGCAGGCAAUUCUAAACACGUUGAUGCAACACAGUUAAGAAAAUCGCAAUUUAGUGAUAAAAACAGGGAAUAUAAAUAGUUAUUUUGUAUGAUAUCAAGUAAGCUGGCCAUAUCAGGUAAUUAAAAUUCUAAAGAAACCAAGAUUGCAAUCUAAAAGGCAAUUUAUUGCACAAAAAAAGAAAAAAAAACCAUAUUGUACAUUAUCUAUAAAUGCAAAACAAUUUUACCAAAUGAAACCUUAGAAGCUAAAAGAGGAGAAAAGAGGGGAAAUUUUUUGGAAACAAAUUAAUGAUUAAUCGGUAAAGAAAUAGAAAAUACUCCAAAAAUUGCAGUGGGCACGACAACAGGCACGGCGCUGGUGGCUAAGAGACAACGAGGAGCGUGCUGAUUAGAGGGUACCUAUAGGAUACAAGAUUAUAGUUGGGCCAGCAGAGGGUGGAGAAAAGAGGAGAAGGGAGGAAGGUUGUGUAAAGGAAUCAGCAGGGCACAGGGCAUAAUAGGCUGUGGGCGUGGGUAGACUGGCUUGCUGGCUAACAAAGGGCGCAGCUGUCAGAAGGACUGACAGGUUGCAAGGUGCAGGAGCCGAUGAGAGACGACGGCAGCGUACGGGCGCUUAAGCCUAUCGGAGGGCUCGCAUCAACAAACUAGUGAGAGGGGCUGCUGUGUGCAAAAUCCACUUCAGGCUGAUGGGGCGCUUACCCGCAUCGACGAAUAAGGCUGCGGGGUGUGGCUUCUGGUGGGUUUAGGGUUUGCUUGUGGGUAGGAAAAGGGGGAGAUUGAGGAAGGUGAAGAGGCAAAGAGUUUUGUUAGAGAGAGAAAAAGAAAAAGAGGGAGAGGGACUUACUCUAUUAAUUGGGAGAGAGGUUGCGUUUAAGUGUUGCACAAAAAAUCGACGAUAAACAAAAAUAAAAUGCCAAAUCUACACCAUUAAUGACCGUAUAAACCUCACAUAAGACAGCCAAAAUAAUAUUGGUGGCUAAAGGUCUAGUUAUUUUCCCUCAAUGUGCGUGAAUCCUUAUCUGACCAUUUUAACGACCAAAUUUAGCUCCUAUCGUUAAAUCUUGGUCGUUAAAAAUACUAAUUCUUCUAGCGGAUUAAUCUCUUUCUUUAGAGUAUUCAGUUCAUUCUCUAUUGCCAAUCUAUUCUGCAAAAGACCAAUAAUGGGAUGGUGGGAAUGAUAAAUUAUGGGUGGAUCAAACUAAGAAAAAUAUCCACACUCACUAAAUCUCUAUGGUGAUCUCUGUAAACUUAAAAAAUUAAGGACCCAAUUGAAGAAUCAUGAAAAAGGUUAGAGACCCAGUUGUAAACGUAGGAAAAUAUUAGGGACCCAAUUGAAAAAUCAAAAAAGGGUAAGGAUCAGUGUUGUAAUUAAUCCAAAUAAACACAAAUAUAGAAUUUUCACAAAUUUAAACCCCCCCUCCCCCNNNNNNNNNNNNNNNNCAGAGAAUAUGAUGUAGAGGCUAAACGGGUGCUCUGCCUGAGGAUAGAGCAUACGGCAGAAGACGAACUUUUUUUUUUUUUAAAAUAGAAGAAGAAGAACAAAAAAAGAGAUUAUCUCAUAGUGUUUGGAACCGAAAAGUCUCCUACUAGGAUUAGCAUCAAUUCAUGACGUUUUUAAAGCAGUUGCCAUGCCAUAGUAACAAAGAGGAACAUUAUAGCUUUCAAUGGACAUUUCAAACAUCUUCUUAAGGUAAAGUGAUGCUCAAGAGAAGAAAGAAUAUAUUAUUACAGUAAAAACCCUUUUCGCUUAUCUAUUUUUUUAGGGUUAAUUACAUACAACUCCAUGUAAACAUAGUGAAUUACAAAUAUAUCCCUACAUAUUUCAACUUUCUUAUGUUAUUCCUACAAAAGUCGUAAUAUUUUCAAAUUUGCGUAUGUCGUUAGGAUCAGUUAGAAAAUUUUAGUUAACCAUAGGUAAAAUACUUAACCUUGGUUAGUCAAUGAGAUAAAUCGACAUUUUUAUCCCUUUUAUAUUGCACCUUCUUCUCUCAAUUAAAACUUUAGCAAUGGGAACUCUUCUUCUUCCUCUUCUCCUAUCUCUUUCAUGUUAGUUUCGAAUGUAACUAGAAUUUCUCCGUCCCAAUUCAUCCACGAUGCAUGUUGCUUCGCUACGUCGAACACGUGUUGCUUCCCCAUUUAAUUUCCUCUAUAAUUUUUUCUUAUUUUGCCAAAAAAAAAAGUUUAGGAGCAAAGGAGUGAGAGAAGGUUGCAAUAAUGGUGAAUUGGAUUGGAUUUUUAAAGAGGAAGAAGAUAAGGAGGAAAUGACCAUUAAAAAUUUUUUGAGAGGAUAUUUUUGCAUGAUUAUAGCAGUUGAGAUUUUUGGAGGGACAUAUUUAUGGUGGCAAAAUUGACAUUUCACUUAUAUGCUGUUAAAAAAUAAACAAUUCUUUAACAGUAACAAACCAAAGGGACAAAUAUGAAUAUCCCUAGACUUUUGCAAGGAUAUGAGUUAAAAAUUGAAUUUUGUAGAAAUAUAUUUACUAUUCGAUAUAUUUAUAGAAAACUGUAUGCAAUUUUUUUUUUUUAAAUCAACAAUUAUUUUAUAUUUAUAUUUCCUAAAUAUGACUGGUCAAAGGUCUUUAUGUCCUAAGGGGGGAAAUUUUUCCUCCAAAAAGACACCAAUGCUUCACCACGUUAGUGCCUAUAUCUCAGUUUCCAUUGAUUGUGACGAAAAUGUAGACGCCGGGACCCAAUUGAAAUAAUUUAUAUAGAUUAGGAACUCAAUAGAUAAAAAAAAAAAGUUAGGGACCUAAUUGAAAACUCGAAAAAAAGGUCAGGGACAAAUGGUGUUAUUUAUCAUUUUUAUAAAACAUUGACUUUUGGGUGAGAAAAUUUCUAAAGUCCGUAACGAAAGGAGCUUCAAACCUCUCAGCAGGAGUGUCAGCGAGCCAAACACAAGCAAGCUAGGGACGAGCUGGACACGAGAUGGUCGUUAAAUUAUCGAGUUGAAAAAGUAGCUUGUGUUUGGUUCGUUAAUAAAUGAGCCGAAUAGGAGCUAGCCCAUGAAUAACAAGUUAAAAAUAUUAGAAGGAAUAUAUAUAUACUAGUGUAGUGACCCGCGCGAUGCAGCAGGUAGAUAAUAUUCAAUAUUUAACGUUAGUUUUUCUACUAUAAUUUUUUCGUUUUUCAGUUAGGUAGGUCUCCAAGAAAAAAGUUACAGUUAGCCUUGCACACGUGAAACAUGAUUAUAGACAUUAAUGAAAUUUUAUCUUAUAAAUUGUACUUUGUAAUAUAUAAGAUGCAAAAUAUAAUGAAGCAUGACAACAACGUCGAACAAAUCGUCGAUAGGUUUUUAUCCAUUAAAUAAACAUUCAUUUAAUUAUUAAUCAUUGUUUUUCAAUAUUCUAAAAAAAAUCUAUAUAUUCGUUUAUAAAUAUUAAUAUUAACAGUAUUUUCUAUAAGACAACAAAAAAUACUAAAAAAUUAUAAAUUUAUAGAGUUUCCAAUUAGACCUAAUUGUAAAAUUUUAUUAGGCAAAAUGCUCUCUCUCUCUCUCUCUCUCUCUCUCUCUCUUUCACAUACAGAAACAAAAAGGUAAGGUAAUAAUUAAUAUUUGUAGUUUUUAUAUUUUUUUUGACUAUUCAAACAUUUAAUAGAAAUGAAAUUAAUAAAUCUUAUAGAUUUCUCUUAUUAGGUAGGAGAUUCUGAAAUAUUGCUAUAUAUGGAUGAAAAAAUAUCUACUAUGAAAAAAAUAACAAAGUGCAUAGAUCAGAGCUGCAAAUUUUUUUUUUUGGCUGCAAUUUACGUCAUAUGCACAAAAUCAGAGGCAAACAAUUAUAGAUCAACCACAUACAGACAAUGAAUUCCUAAUAAAAAAGAUUAACAUUAGUUUAAAAUAUAUUAUAUAGUGAAAAAUAGGAGAAAAUAAACAAAGCAUUAAAUUCAAAUAAAAAAGAACCUGUCAAUAUAAUUAAUCGUUGCAGGCAGAAGCAGUCAAUUCCUGAAACAAAAUAAAAAUAUUCGAACUGAUACCCGCUUCGUUUUUGUAUUAUAUCUACUGUAAUUAUAUCCGAUCACACAUUAAUUUUGCUAAACAUUCGAACUAUAUAUAUACUCUUUUCUUUCCAUAUUUGAAAUGAGUCCAAGAAUACGAAAUUAGAUAAUCAUAAAAUAGUUAUUUGCUAUGCAUAUUCAUAUAGUUGAACUGAAAACUACUUGAAUUCCUAAAGCGGAAUAAAUUGUCAAAACUAAUAUAAAAUAUAGAUAAAGAUGAAAAAAAUAAUUAAGUAAUAUUCAAAAUAGAUACAAGAAAGUUAGGUUGUAGAAACAAACCAUGAAAAUAAAUAUCAUGACUAUUAAAAGUUGUUGACUUAUGAAUACGCAGUCCACUCUCCACCCCUAAUACCGCUUGCUGCUGUACAUACAAAAUAGUUACACAACAAUCAAAAAUUCACUCUAACCCGAUUAAAAAAUUAAUUCACAAUGAGGUCUCUGAAAUUACUGAGACAAAAUUACUGAAUAUAUUGAAAAUUUCACUCAAUGUUUCACUUCUGCAGCCGAUACACCAACCCUUUCUUUCAAAGUGAUCUUGGCUGUGUUGAGUCGACGCAGUGGCUGAGGCGGCUGCUGCUGCAGCGGCGGAGGUGGUGGAGGAAGGGACUUCCGAAAGCGUCGAAGGUGAGCGAGAAGCGGCGAAGGGGCAAAGAGGGUGGUGGUGAAUAGAUGGACGAAAGAAAAAAAAAAUAGAGAGUAGGAAAUGGAGGGGCGGAUGGAAAGAACCCGAAAAAUCUCUUGAGUAGACAACCGACUUUGCAUUAUUUACACGGAGCAUACAAAUUUAAUUUUUUAAAAUACCUAAGAACAAAUACCUAAAUUAUUGGACACUUAUUAUUGUAUAUUUUUUUUUAAAAAAAAAUUAUCUUAUGUGAAACGUUACAUAUAUAGAAUCACCCAACAUUUAUGGGCUCCUCAAUAAACUUCCAAAUAUUUUUCAUUUCACUAAACAUUAUUAUUUAAUGCGAAUGUUUGAAACAACUUAGCAUUUAUGGGCUCCUCAAUAAACGUCCAAAUAUUUUCUAUUAUGCUAAACAUUAUUAUGUAGUGGGUUUCGUGAAUAGGUGAACGAAAGAAAAAAAAAAAAUAGAGAGAAGGAGAUGGAGGGGCGGAUGGGAAGAACCGAGAAGUCUCUUGAGGAGAUAACCGACUUUGCAUUAAUUACACGGACGAUACAAAUUUAAUUUUUUAAGACACCUAAGAACAAAUACCUAAAUUAUUGGACAUGUAUUAUUGUAUAUUUUUUCUAAAAAAAUUUGUGUUUAUGUGAAACGUUACAUAUAUAGAAACACCAUAGCAUUUAUGGGCUCGUCAAUUAACUUCUAAAUAUUUCUUAUUCCAUUAAACAUUAAUUAUUUUUAAUUAUUUUUAAUUAUGUGUAAACGUCUCCUAUUCUGCUAAACAUAAUUAUUUAGUGGACCCUACUAAAGAAAUAUAUUCUGUACAUUUACAGAAGAGGUGGGUCCCACUUUUUUCCUAAAAUAAGGAGAAAACUUGAAUCCCACGGGGAUUCAUAAUAGUUUAUAGAUAUAUAUAUAUAUAUAUAUAUAUGUAGAAAAUAAAUUUAUGAAAUCUUACCUAUUAGACUUUUGAUUUAAUAAUUAAAACUUUAUAUAUAAAGGAUUCUUUUUUAUAAUUGAGUUGGGCUUUAUAUUUAGAUUGGAGGAUUUUAGUAAUCUAGUCUUCUUCAAAAACUUUAUUUUAAAAUUAGAUCUGUUAAAAUUUUAUUUGUAAAAUAUAGUCUUCGUUAUAUUUGUAAGUGAUAAAAACGAUGAAUGAUUCACCGCAUUCGUCAAAUUUUUUUAUGGAGAGAGAAAGCGGUGAAUGAUUCACCGCUUUUAAAAAGGACAUACAAAGAAAGAAUAAGAGAGAAUGAAAGGAAAAAAUAAUAAAAGCGGUAAAUGAUUCACCGCAUUUAAAAUAAUGUUUAGUUUUAAGUAGAAUUAUGAAAGCGGUGAAUGAUUCACCGCAUUUAUAAAUCUAUUUUUAUAAUUAUUUUUUUUUAGAAGACUAUUUUUAUAAUUAUAAAUAUUGAUAGGGUUAUAUAUAUACAAAAUUCUUUAGAUUGAGCUAAAAAUUAAAUAAUAAAAAUAUAUAUUUUAUUUAUAUAAUUAUUUAUUUAUAUAUAUAAAUAUAAAAUAUAUAAACUAUAUAAAUAUAAAAUAUAUGUAUUCGAACUAUUAUUAAGUAGAAUAAGAGCGAGCUGACUCUGGCUUGUGUUCGGCCCAUUUAGUAAAGGAAAAACUUCAAAUACCCCCCUUGUGAUUUCACUUUUUCUCACUUUAGUACCCUGUGGUUUAAAGUGUAUCAAGUUAGUACCCUGUGGUUUUGCACUUUUCACUUUACUACCCUGCGGUUCACAUUUUCUCACUUUAGUACCCUGUGGUUUCGCACUUUCUCACUUUUGUACCUUGUGGUUUACAAAAUCACAGAGUACUAACUUGAUACAAAAAUAAAACCACAAGGUACUAACUUGAUACAAAAAUAAAAUCACAGGGUACUAACUUGAUACACUUUAAACCACAUGGUACUAAACUGAGAAAGUGCGAAACCACAGGAUACUAACUUGAUACACUUUAAACCACAGGGUAUUAAAAUGAAAAAAUAUGAAACCAUAGGGGGUUUUUUGGAAGUUUUCCCUUUAUUAAACAAACUAAGAAGGCCAAUUUGCAUAAAAAAUCCACUUAUUUUGGGCUUUUGCAAAACCGGGCCACCUUUUUCGUUUUUGCAGAUUCGGUCCGCUUUUUCAGCAAACUGACCAAAAUACCCUUAUUACUUUUUCUCUUUCCUCUUUCUCUCUCUUCUUCGUUUCUCUCGUUCUUUUUUUUUUUCUCGCCGGCAGAGCGGAGACGGAGCGGAGGCAGAAACGGUCCGUCUCGUCUCUCACCCUCAUGCUCUCGCCUUCGCCCUUGCCCUCGUCCAUGCACCCCCCACCUUCCUCGCCUCCGACCCCGCCAAGGCCGCGCCGCGACUUUUUUUUUUUUUUUUGCUUUUUUCUUUUCUUUUCUUCUCCGACUCUUCUCCACCGUCUCCGACGACGACGCCUCUCGCCCUUCCCCGCCCUUCUCACCUCUCCCUCUCCCUUAUUUUCUGCCACAUCCGACGACGAUUUAUCUUCGCCGGUGCCGACGUCGACACCGUAGAGGUCACUGCGGCGCUACAGCCUCGGAGCGGGGGGGUCCUUAGCGGCGUCGUCAUCGGCGCCGUAGCUGUUGGCAGAGAAGGUGACAAAUAAAAUUAUAGAAAAAAAGAAAAAAAAAUAAAGAUAAAAAAUUAUAUAAAAAGAAGGAUGAAGAUAAAAUUGCAUCGUUAAUUACAAAAAAAAUUAUAAGUUGUACUAUUUAAGAUGUAAACUGCUGCUUUAAGAUAAAAAUUAUACUCUUUGAAUGAAAAUUAUACUAUUUUUUAUCUUAAACUGCAUCCUUUUAAGUGAUAUUUAUACUGUUUCUCCUUUUAUUGCACUGUUUUUUCUCUUGCUGCACUAUUUAUUCUAUUGUUUACAUAAAAUGGUGCAACAAGAGGAGAAACAGUGCAACAAGAGAAAAAACAGUAUAAAUAUCUCUUAAAAUGGUGCAGUUUCUCCUCUUAUUGCAUUGUUUCUCCUCUUGUUGCACUAUUUUUCCUAUUGUUUACACAGAAAUGGUGCAACAAGAGGAGAAACAGUGCAACAAGAGAAGAAACAAUAGAUAUAUCUCUUAAAACAGUGUAGUUUCUUCUCUUGUUGCACUAUUUCUCCUCCUAUUUAUACAAAAAUGGUGCAACAAGAGGAGAAACAGUAUAUUUAUCUCUUAAAACAGUGCAGUUUCUCCUCUUGUUGCACUAUUUCUUCUCUUGUUUACACAGAAAUGGUGCAACAAGAGGAGAAACAGUGCAAUAAGAGGAGAAACAGUAUAAAUAUCUCUUAAAAGGGUGCAGUUUAAGAUAAAAAAUAGUGUAACAAAAGAAGAAAUGGUGCAACAAGACGAGAAACAGUGCAACUUUUGUUUAAAGAGUGUAACUUUCAUUUUAAUGGAUGCAGUUUACAUCUGAAAGAGUGUAAUAAGAAGAGAAAUAGUGUAAAUAUCUCUCAAAGAGUGUAAUUUUCGUUUAAAGAGUGUAGUUUUCAUCUUAAAGCUGCAGUUUACAUCUUAAGUAGUGCAACUUAUAAUUUUUUUUGCAGUUAACGAUGCAAUUUCAUGUUCAUCAUUCUUUUUAUAUGAUUUUUUAUCUUUAUUUUUUUUUAUUUUUUUUAUAAUUUUUUUUGUCACCCUCUUUGCCAACCGCCACGGUGCCUGCGAC
rnacentral:lncRNA from 1 species